rnacentral:lncRNA from 1 species
UAGAGAAACCUAUUCACUGUUACGUCUCUAUCUCUUCCUCUCGUCUCUUCGACUCUUCUUUUCUAUGUUCAUUGACUCUCUCUCGUUUCCUCCCCUCAGCUCUCUCGUUCGCAGUUGUCGACCGACCUCCACANNNNNNNNNNNNNNNNNNNNNNNNNNNNNNNNNNNNNNNNNNNNNNNNNNNNNNNNNNNNNNNNNNNACCCCUUCUCUAUGACCUCCUCACAACGUCGAUUUCUCACUCUGACUUUCACUUCUUGCAUAUGAUUUUCAGAUUCUUACUCAAUUAUUGUUUUCUUCUUCUACUAUUUAUUAUUUGUGAAUUGUUUUAGUUUAUGAUUGUAAACUAGUAGUAGUGUGUUAAUUGUAUUAUUGACUUUUUGAAUUGUGAACGGUUUUAGUGUGAGAAUUGAGAUUGUGAACAUUAGUGUGUGAAUUGUGACUUUGUGAUUGUGAACUAUUUUUCUUAUUAGUGUAGUGUGGAUAUGGAAUUGUAAAUUUGUGAACUAUUUUACUUUGUUAAUGUGAGUUGUAACUUUGAGAAUUGUAAACGGUGUCUCUGAAUGUGUUUGUGAUUCAGUUAUUUUUAUGUUACUAAGUUAGUGUUGUGUAAUUAAUAUAUAUAUUUUUUUAGGAGUGAUACAAUGUUUAAACAUAAAAAAAUUGAUACAUUUUUUCAAGAAGAAAAUUUUCAACAAAAGUGAAAAUUAUAAAGUUUCAACAUCGACACUUGAAAAACAUCCUUCUAGUGAACAAACAAUUCAACCGAAUACUACACAUAUAUAGCUUCAUCACUCCCAAACUUAACAAUUUCUUGAUCUCAUUUAUCCUCUUUCUAUUAUUGUGUUUGCAAUUUUUUGUGCGUUUAAAUUGCAAAUUUACAAUUUAAAAUACGAAUAUACAAUAUUAUAUUUACUUUAUUAAUUAAAAUUAAUAAAUUUGACACCCUCAAAAGUUUUGGUCAAGAUCCGCCAUUGCACACGUUCAUCAUCUAUAUUUUAAAAUUAAUAGUAAUAAUUAAAUUAAAUACACGCUAUGGAUACACAUAAACAUUUUAGAAGCUAAUAGGAAAUUACCAAACAAUAAACUUACUCCAAACAAAAAAAACUAAUUUCUUCUACAUAGGAUCAAUGAUCAAGAAUAAUGCAAGAUCUCUAGUCUUCCAUCUUAACCAUCUACAUAAAAAUAUUUGAUGAUAUUUACUCAUAUUAACUAUAAGUUGUCUCUAAUGUGACUAUUCAAUUCACCCACGUGUUUACAAAUCAUACGUAAAGUUGAGAGAGUGUUGAAUUAAAUGAUAGCUUUCAUAAAUGUUUUACUCAACAUGGUUUCGACGAAACAAAUCAUUCUUAGACAUUUCAACAAAGACAUUACACAUGAACUUAAAGCAACCAAAAAAUAACAAUAAAACAUAAGGAAAGAAACAUAACCGCAAAAAACAUAAAUACACCAACACAAACAUUACAUCUCAUUUUCUACAAUUUAGGUUGUAACAUUCACUACCAGAUUUAGAGGCGGGGGACGAUAAAUCAGAGAUGAUGGCCGAUUUAUGCAAUAUUAAGACUUGUUUAUUAAAAAAGGUCCCUUAGAUUCAUAACUUAGUUGAUUUGUGCAAUAUUAAGGUUUAUUGAGUAAAAGUUAGUUGAUAUAGUUUUUAAGCUAAUUGAAUAUUUAGUAAAGUUAGUGGUAAAAUUAAUUUAAAAAUGUAAAAUAAUAUAAACAAACAUUCUUAAUUAAAAUUAAAUUUAUCAAUUAAUGAUUAAAAUAUUUUAAAAUUAAUAAUUACUGUUUAUUAAUUUAAAAUUUAUUAAUCCAAUAUAAUUUUUAUUUAUUUAGCAAGUUUUAAGUUAUAAUAACUAAAAUAAUUUAAAUUAUUUACGUUAAAAUAUUAACUAUUUAUAAAUAAUUAAAAAAGAUAAUAAUAAAUUAUUUAUCAAUUUGAUAAAUUUUUAUUUAGUUAGUUUAAUUAUUUUAAAUUUGAAAAUUAAGUAUUUUAAAUUAUUUUAAAUUAUUUAUUAGUUUAUGUAUUCUAAAUUAUAGUAAAUAAAAUAUAACGAAUAGAAAAUGAUUAAUUUAAUUACAAUAAUAAAAGUAAAAAUAACAAAAAAAUGAUAAAUUUAAAAUUAUUAACUCAAAAGCUACUCGGAUAGUUUAUUAAAAAAUGAUAUAAUAUAUAAGCUAUAAGCUCAUAAUUUGAAAUAUCAAAUAAAUUUUAUAAACUAAUUUUAUAAACAAAAUAAGAUCUAUUUAGUGAUAAUCUUUAAAAGUCUCUUAUGCAAUACUGACAAAAUAAUUUUUAUUUUUUUAUAUGAAUACCACACUUAAAUUAAAAAACAAAUAACGUCACAUGUAACAUACAAAAAUAAAAUUAUAGAUGAAAUAUAGAAAGGAUAAAUUUAUUUUAAAAAUUAUUUAUUUAAAUAUAAUAAAAUAAUUCAAAGAAUAGUUUUAUACAACAAAAGAGAAAAAAAAAAAUAAACUACUAUUUUUUAAGCCAAGAAAGGAGGCGCCGCCGGCUGUGAGACGGUGUUAUUGUGAGUCUAAUAUUCAAAAUGCAUACAUAAAAGCUGUUUCCAAAUUUCCUUUGCAUAGAUAGGUUCUCGUUACCCUACUACUUCUUUGACUGCAAUAUUGGCCCUUGUAUCACCAUGCUAUAAUUUGUCUUUAAACGACAGUAUUUCUUGACUAUUUAUACUGUGAUGAUUUCAAUCCUAAUACUAUCCACGUGUUGCACACCUCAAGACAACACCGAUUUGGUAUUAAAUGCAUUCAUAUAAAUUAAUCGAAUUAAAUAUUGAAUAAAAAAUUCAAAUAAAUAAUUUGACUGGAAAUAUCAAUUGAUUGAAUAGGUAUUCAAAUCAAAUAAAUGUUUAUUGAUUCCAAAAUUAAUGCAAGGUAAUAAUUCAAACUAAAUUUAUUAAAGGUAAAUAGUAAUAAUUGAAAUUGAUUCACAUUCAUUGCCAACUUUCAUUGCACGCAUGGCUUGCAAAGGACGUCGACAAAUAAAGUGGGAAUAACUCAUGCCGCUAGACAAGGGUAAUUGAUCGAUUAAUGAAAUGUAUAUAUAUAAAAAAUAUUAUAAUUAAAUUUAUCUGUAUAAGAUUUACAUUGAUGUUUACUAUAAAUAAAUGAUUACUUGACUAUAAUAAAAAAAUUAUUAUAAUGGGCGUUGGCAAUAAAUAAAUAAUAUAUAUGUUUUAGUCUAUGAAAUUUUUUAAGUUUAAUUAUAGUUUUGGUAUAUUUAUUAUUAUUAAUUAAUUAGUCUCUUAUUUUAAAAAUAGACAAUUUUAGUCUAUCUCUCAAAUUUUUAAAUUAAAAAAUGAUUGAUUUGACGUAUUUUUAAUGAUGUGACCUACAAUUGUAUAAUAUAAAACCAUAUAGAUGUAUUAAUUAUUCUUAUUUCAUCAAUUAAAUUAAUAUUAUAAAAAAAUUAUGAAGUUAAAAUUUAAAUUUUUACGACGUUUUAUUUCAAUUUCAUAGAUAUUAAUCGUUCUACAUCAUUCUAUUAUAUGUCACAUUAUUUAAAAUAUUUUACGUCAUCAUUUUUUGAUUAAAAAAUCAAAAUAAUAGAUUAAAAUUAUAAACUUUUAAAUAUGGGGAUCAAUUUCGUGAAUCAGUAAAAAUAAAAAGAUUAAAAUUAUAAUAAGCCAAACUUUUAUUUUUUUUUCAAAUUAUAUUAAAUACUAUUAAUAAAUUUUUUAAUUUCAAAUUUAUAGAAGUUUUGAAUUAUGAAAUUAGUAACAUUGUCCUGAUUUUUGUCAACUGCCGCCGCUGGGAGUUAGUUUCCUCCUUCGUCGAAAUGUGCUCAUAAUGUGGAUAACUAUGCUAAAUAAUUGGAUAUAGUUUCCUCCUUUGGGUUGUUUUUAAGAUAUACUUUAUCAUUAGAAUUACCAUGACAUAAUUCAUAAGAAAUGCACACGACCAACAAUUUUGUUACCAAACAGUUUCCUUUUGGCUAUCAAUAUCUCUUAAUUUUUUUUAUAAAAACGGAAGACCUAAAAUACCAUUUUUUUUAUUUGUCUCAUUUUUUAAAUCUUAUAACUCCAUUUGUCCUUUCAUCACCAUCAUUAACCUCAUAAUGUACGCAUCAUAACUCAUUCAUAACUCACACCACUCACCUAUAACUUACCCUCCAUAAGUCACAUUUUCAUAUUAUAGUUAAAGUCACCAAUAGAAUAUGCUUAAUGAUAUGUGUUUGAAUUCGUAUUUUUUCUCUUCAAAAUCUUGGAAUUUUACGUCAACCCAGUUCAUGGACAUUGUAAAUAAUACAUUGUACGCAAACUUAAAUCACGUAUCUUUACGUGAUCAGUUUUCACGCACGUGAUUCAAUUUAAGAAACUAUAGGUACUACGUUAAUACAUUUCGCGUAAUGAUACACGAUUUAAGUUUGCAUAUGCAAUGGAAUUUAAGGGUUUACAUAGAUGAUCUCAAUUUAUGAGACAAUACCUACUUGAAUUCAGUUCACAUACGGUUGCAUGAAUUCAAUUCAAUUCACAUAGUUUGCGUGAAUCCAAUUCACAUAUGAUACAUUAAUUGAAAUCACGUAAACAAUAUUUUUAAUAUUUUUAAUUUAUUCUUAUUAGAUGUAGAUAAAUGGACCAAUUGGAAGAUAAUAGUGACGAAAUGUACGAUGGUUUGGACUCUAAUUUUGAAGAAACGUAUGAUGGUAUGGAAUCUGAAUUUGACGAAAUAUAUGAUGGUUUGGAAUCUGAUGUUGACGCAAUGAAUGAUGGUGUUGAACCCGAAAUUGACGAUGUUAUGAAUAACGGUGUUGAACCUGAUAUGGUGGAUUUGACUAAUGUGUUUACCACCGACAUCAUGUUUGAUACCCGAUAUGAUUUAUUGAAAUGUGAUAAAAAUAUUGGAAGGGGAAAUAGAAUUAUCGCUGUCAUUUUUAGAUCUGAAAGAAACAACAAAUAUAUACUUUGGAAGAAUCCUAAAGCCGUGAGAAGUACUUGAACUAAAAAAUGUUAAUUUUCAUUUAGAUUGAGAGGAACACCAUCAAAUAUUGGUAAGGGGUGGUAUUUUGCAUGUAACAUUUGGUCUCCAUAACUACGAGUUGACCAAAAAAUUGACUAUUCAUUCUUUCUUAAGUCGAUCGUCUCAUGAAGACAAAUAUGUAUUUGGUAUAUGACGAAGAACAUGAUCAAUCCAAGAAACAUAUUGAUGAUAUUAAAGGAUCAUAAUUUUGAAAUGCAACAUCUAAUGACAUUGAUAGAACGCACAAAUAUGUAUAUCGAUAUAGAAAAGUAGAGGGUUUAGAUGAGUUUAUGGACAUAUUCUGAGUUCAUCUAGAUGUUAUCACUCUUGUGAAUGAUUCUCACAUAAUAUUGAUUAUGGAUAACACAUACAACACUUGUAGGUAUCAAAUGCCAUUACUUGAGAUUAUUAGUGUUACUUCUACUGAAAUGAUAUUUUGCAUUAGAUUUGCAGAUCUUCAGUCUGAGCGUGCUAAUAUCUAUAGUCUAGGUUUGUCCUCAACAUAUCUAAGAGAAGGUUUACAUUAGUCUACACAUAAAGUCGGAAUAUUCUCAUAGACCCAAGUCUGUAUAUAUAUAAUAAUAUAUCAUUAAUUUAGAAUUAAUAAUAGAAAUUAUCAACACAAUAAACAACCAUUGAGUAUACAUGUAAAAGUGUUAAAUACCUAGAAACCAUUUUGGUGUGAUGCAUACUGGCUUCACGGAGAUUGUCAUAUAUGUAAGCAAGAGUAGUAGUACCCUGUGUGUAUCCCCACAUGAGUUGAUUUCUCAAAAGCACUCUAGGUAGGCAACACUAACUGUGAAGACACUUUUGCUGCUGAAAAGGGUGCAACCAACCAAAAAUAGUAGAAAUAUCAUCGCAACAAUUUCUCAUAGCUAGUCACGACAACACUGAUGGUAUGCUUCAAGUAGUCAACUAUAUCGAACAAUGGUUGUCCACGUGACAUUAAAUUCAGCAUGAAGUCUUAGUAAUAUGAUCUCUUUAUCGAUUAUUUCGUAACUGCAUUUUGACAACGAAUAUAACCCUGAAUUGUUAACCAACUGCCCCACCUCUUCAUAUUCAAUCACAACUUCUUUCAAUUUUUUCAUUGCUAAAUAGCCUUAGCUCGCCACAAUCUUGAAAUAAAAGAAGGAAAAAUAUAAGCUAAAACACAUUAUGACAACAACUAUUAAAAAAUUAAUAUGAUCGAUAAAAUUAUCACUCGAUCCCAAAGUCGAGUUGUUGCGUAGUCACCAAAUAUCCUAAGAACAAAUGUGCCAACAUGACUACCAUGAUAUUCAUCAACAUGUGGAAGUUGAUCCAUCUACUCUAAAUGAGCCUCAUGUUAUGUUUGCUCUUCCUGUUGGGUUUGCUUUUCUUGUUGGUCAUGUUGCUCUUGUUAUUGUAAUAAUUGUUGUUCCCAUUGUACCUGCCUAUCCCGUUGCACUUCUUGCUGCUCCUCAAGAUUUUGAGUUCGUGUAGACGCGGUCGUUCUAAUAGGACGACCCUCAUUAUUAGCAAUAUCAUUAAUUAUAACUCAACCUACUCUAUUAGUAAUCAUAGUGCACACUAUUUCUACACAACCAUAUCAUAAUCAAAAUCUAAACACAAUCAAAUAUGUUGUGUACGCAGACUCAGUUCACAUAGACUCAAUUCAUGUACGCAAACUUAGUUCACGUAGGUUCCUACAGAAACUUAGUUCACAUAGGUUCCCACACAGACUCAAUUUGCGUAUUCAGUUUGCGUACACAUGGACACCAUCAAAAUCACCAUUGUUGUUCUAGUAUCAAAUGUUGACAAAAUCAAUUUCAUUAUCACCAAAAUCAAUUUCAAUUGCAUAAGCCUAACUAAAUAUUAUAAAAAAGAAAAAGAAUGACAUUUUAAAUAUUUCGUUUUUAUAAAAUUAUUUAAAUAGAAAAAUUAAUAGACCAAACCUUACCAGAGCCAUUACAACAUUUAUAACUUUUAUUUAAAUAUGAUUCCCAAAAAUAUGUAUAUUAAGAUAACGAAAUGAACUCCUAAAAAAAAUGAAAUCAAAUUGUGUUACUUUAAGAAGAUCUCUUAUCUUUGAAAAACAUUAAAAUUAAAAUCAUGUUAGAAAAUUAUAAUAGACUAAAUUACACAUUAGAGCUUCUAAAUAUCAUGGUGGGUGAGUUCCAAGAUCACGGUGACGUUGAGAAAUAAUGAAAAAUAAAACUUGAGCAAAUUCAAAGAAUAUAAAAGAAACAAAAUGAAUAUCAUUUUUCUAAAUUAUGUUUGCAAAAAUAAUAUAAUUUUUCACAAGCAAAGGCAAUCUAAGAAAAAAGAAAAAAUUGAAAAUGCUUCUCUCAAAAUUGAGAACAAUAUUCAUUUCACCCAUAUUUAAACCCACUUUUAGGCAUAAAUGAGCGUGAAAAUAACAAAUUACAUCAGGUGGCUAUCUACUCAAUCACAGAAUAACAGUCAAUUCACGGGGCAUAUCACAAAAGCCAUCAAAUUAAAUAUAAAUAUGUCUUGCAAUGUGCUUAGAACUAAAAAUAUAAUAAUCAAAUGAAAGAAAAAUUGAACCAAUCACAGUAGCUGCAAAGAAGAGAGAGAACUUGAAAUUAAAAAAUGAAGAAAAUCCAAAAAUAAAGGGCGAGAGAGAUUGGGGCAUAGGGAGGUGAAUAAAGAAAAUGAUGAGAGAUUCUUAUAUAUAAAAGAACAUAUAUGAUGAGAGAUAGGUGCAUACCCUAUUUUCUCUUAAAUUUAUUGUAAUUGUAUUUUGACCAAAAAUUUAUUGUAAAACAUCAAUGCCUUAAUAAAAAGGGAAAAAUGGUGGUGAAUUAAGUAAUUAGUGAUUUCGAAGACGAGAGUAAAAUAAGAAAUAUAAAUAUAAUUAUGAUAUCAAAUUAAUUACCCAAUUGUAAUAUUUGUUAAUAGUGGUGAGAAUAAGUUGAAUUUGAAAAUUUGACCUCUUAAAAAAAUUUAAAGUUUAAAUAUGUCUUGAUUUAUUAUAGAGUUUUUUAGAUCUGACAUUUAUGAAAACUUAGUACAACCUAUUAAUUUAUUUAAAAAUUUAGUUUAUAUUAACAUUUUAAAUAAGUAUUAAAUAUAUUUUUAAUAGAUUAAUAUGUUAAUAUAUUAAUGAAAUUAAAUAAUUUUUUUAUAUAUUUAAUAUGAUAUUUUAAAAAUUUAAUUUUAUAUGAAAUUGUACUUCAAUUCUAAUUUAUUAUUAUGGGUGGAAACCAGCACAGUUGAACCAAACUUUGCUUAAACGCCUACUAUCAGUCAAAGACUUGAAUGUUGUUGAACAUGUACAACCAUAACACUUAUUUUUUUCCACUUUUUAUAAUAAACUUGAUGUAUAUAUGAAUACUAAUCAUUAACAAAAUAAAAAAACAAAAUACAAUGUUAAAUUUAUAGAAUAAUAAUUUUGAGAGAAAAAAAUAAAUAUAAAUUAGUGAGAAAAAAAAAUUAGUGUUCAAAAUUAUAAUAAAGAGUUUUUUAUUAUAGUAAUAUAAAGAUUUUUUAAUAUACAAAUAUGUUAAGUCUUUUAGUCUAUUAUUAUUAUUAUUAUUAUUAUUAUUAUUAUUAUUAUUAUUAUUAUUAUUAUUAUUAUUAUUAUUAUUAUUAUUAUUAUUAUUAUUAUUAUUAUUAUUAUNNNNNNNNNNNNNNNNNNNNNNNNNNNNNNNNNNNNNNNNNNNNNNNNNNNNNNNNNNNNNNNNNNNNNNNNNNNNNNNNNNNNNNNNNNNNNNNNNNNNNNNNNNNNNNNNUUAUUAUUAUUAUUAUUAUUAUUAUUAUUAUUAUUAUUAUUAUUAUUAUUAUUAUUAUUAUUAUUAUUAUUAUUAUUAUUAUUAUUUUAAUUACAUAUAUACGAGUUUAUCUGUCAAACAUAAUAUACUUUUUAGAUAACAUGAUUUUAAACUAUUUAAAUAAAUAAAUUUAAAAUAUAAAAAUAGAAAGUUUAGUCUAAUAUUUUUAUUAACUAAAUUAAAUAUUUAAAUUUACGACUUUAAUAUAACACAUGGCAAGUUGUAUUGACCAUUAAAACAUUGAUAUAUUCUAACUUAUCUAUUUUUUAAAAAAUUUAUAAUAUUUUUGAGUUUUGGUCAGUAAAUUUUUUAGAUUUUUGCUCUUUAUAUAUGAAAAUCAAUAAUUCUUAAAUGUCACUUUUGCAUAAUACUCAAUUACGUUCUCAAAAUAAUUAGACUUACAAAGAUAAAAUAAAGCAAGACUGCGAAUCAUUCAAAUUAAUUGAAACUUCAAUGAUUAUUAGUUUUAUUAUUCAUAAUUUACGAAAAUAAAAUUUUUUACUACCAUUUUUAAAAACUCAUAUUUUUUAAUAAAAUUUUAUAUAUUUUAGAACUUAAUUAAUUUGUGGAUAGUUUUAUAAUCCUUCACAUGGACGAUGUGUGAUAUAAUUUACAGAAAUUAUAUAAUUUAUAUUUCAACAUAUAAUAUAAUUAAUUUAUAUUAUAUUUAAAUUAAUAUUUUUAUUGUUUAGUAAAAAGAAAGAUAUUUUAUAGUUAGGCACAAUCAAUUAUUAUCUCUGCUUAGGUAAUUAUUAUUAAAAUGUUUAAAAGUUCAUGUAUACUCGAUGGGAAUAACAAUAAAGGGGACUUUGAUAUUUUUAAUGUAACACUUACGGCGAUUUCUUUUUGAGAUGAAGUUAUUUUUACACCCAUUAGGAUUACACAAGGGGUCGAUUUUUACCAUUUCUAUGAUUUUUAUAUAUAUUAUUUUAACAUUUUCUUAUAGUUAUAUCACACCUCAAUUAAAAUAUUGGUCUGCAUUAUGUCAAAAAUAAUAAUUACUUUGGGCUGAAUCAUAAUAUAAAAGAUUCACUUAGGUUGACAAUAACAAGAAAAUUUUCCCUUGUACCUACUCAUUUAUCCCUAUACCUCUAAAAUUAAAAGAAAAAUACUAAAAUAUUUUUAUAUAUAUAAUUUUUUUUUAAUUUCUUCAUUUAACCGGAACAUAAAUAACAAGCAAAAAAAAAAAACAAUUCCAGAAAACUUCUUUCAAGUUUUCCGGUACACAACUUUCACUCCGGAAAACUUGAAAGAAGUUUUCCGUUACAUAAUAUCAUUUCCGAAAAACUUCAACGUAAUAUUUCCGGAAACCACCGAAAAACUUCAUCUGUUUUCCGAUAGUUGUUUGAUUUUUUUUAUAAAUAUUUUUUAAAAUAAUUUUUUUGUUUUAUUUUUUUUAUUAUAUUAGUAUUUAUUUGAUUUUAACUAAUUUAUAGAUCUUGUUAUGGAAAGUAGUAUUAAUCAUUAAUUAUGGUGUAUUAAUUAUGAAUUAUUAUGGUGUAUUAAUAAUGUAUUAAUUAUGAAUUAUUAUGGUGUAUUAAUAGUGUAUUAAUUAUUGAAUGGUGUAUUAAUUAUUAAUCAUUUAUAAUAUAUUAAUUAUUAAUUAUUUAGGGUAUAUUUAUGUGUGUUAAUUAAUAUUUAUGAUGCGUUAAUUAUUGACUAAUGUAUUAUCAUUUAUAAAAAUAAUAAAAUAAAAUAAAAAUUUAAAAAAAUGGUGUGUACCGGAAAUCUUUUUGAAAUUUUUUUCUCAAAACACCUUCUGUACCGAAAAUCUUUGGAAUGAAGUUUUCCGGUAGUACAAUUUUUCACUUCUGUACCGGAAAUCCUUUUUAAAGUUUUCCGGUAACAACUUUCUGUACCGGAAAACUUGAAAAAAGUUUUCCGAAAGUAAGGUGUGUACCGGAAAUGUUUUUUGUAGUUCCAAAAAAGAUAAAAUUAUAAAAAAUAAAAAAAAAAACUUUGAAUUAAUAAGGGCAUAAUUGUCAUUUUCAAAAAAUUAUGGGGUAUAGGUAUAAAAAUGGGGGUACAGGUGAAAUUUUUCCAAUAACAAUGACUCAUUUAAACAAGUUGGGCGAAAUAUAUCUUAGGAAGGUAGUUUGAUUAGCGUGAGUUAAAAAAUGUUGAAGAAACUUCAAGUAGGUCACGGGUUUUCCGAAUAUUAACAUAAUCUAAUAAAUUUUUAAUAUUUAUUUAUAAAAAAAUUGAGCAAAUAUUGCGAUGUCAAUUUUUAGUAAUAUAAAAUAAAUAAUUUUUAUUAAAUAUUAAAAUAAAACUAUUUUACACUAUUAUUACGUAUCUAUUAAACUAAAAAAUAAAAUUACUUUAUUAUAAUAAAAUUUUUAAUUUACAUUUAAAUAUUUUUUAUUUUUUUUUACUUUAUACAGCGCAUAGACUCAACUAUGCUAAUUUGAUUAACUUAUUAAUUUUUUUUAGACAACAUCAUGUUUUAUAGUUUGAAUUCUUCACUGCCAUAUGUUAUUUUGAGGGAGGGAAAAUGCUAUGAAUGUUUUUUUUAUAUGUGCAAGAUGUGAAUAAUAAUUACAAAGUAAGAGAUGAAGUUUAGUAAAGAUUUUUUUAUAUGUUGGAAAGGGAGAGAAGGACUUUAAAAAAAAGGAAAAAAAAAUGAAAGAAAUGGAGACUUUGAGAGGAAAUGUGUUUGACGGAUUUGUUUUUACUCAUUAAUACAAAAUUCCUUUUCUAAGGCUCUUAAUAUUGCUAGUUUUAAUAAGCUACAUAUGAAAUGUAUUUUUCACUUAAUAAAAUUUUAAUAUAUUAUUUUAAAUGUGUAUGUUAAUUUUAACUAAUAUUUUUGAAAUAUAUAUAAAUUCAUCAAGAAAAUUGAUGAUAUCAAAUUUAGUUUUUUUGCUUAGAAUUAUAUUUUUUCUUCACUAAAUUUGUUAUGAGUAGUGUGUUGCUUAUUUUAAUUUUGGGAGUGCAUUGAAAAAUAAUGAAGGCUUAGUGUUACUGGUAGUUAUUUUAUUUUAUUUAAGAGUAACUAGUAAGUUUUAUUGAGUCAAUUUAUUUCUCCUCAAAAUAAAAAUAUAAAUUGGAAAUAGGCCUUGAAAACAUAUUCCUAUAAUUUAGGAAGAGGAUAAUAAAAUAGUAACAACAAAUUACUUAACUCUACAAAACAGAAUCGACUCCCUUCUAUUUAUAGUUAUUCAAUACUCAUUCUUACCAUUUAGGAUAUAGAAGAAGAACAAAAAGAGAAAAAUAUUUUAUUUUCUUCAAAGAAAAUUGUGUAGCUUAUUGUGUCGUCGUAGGAAUUACUACCUUACUUGUUUCUUUAGGUUCUCUUUAUUUUCUUAAAAUUAGAUUCUCUUUAUUUUCUAAAAUUUAUUUAGGGCUUUAUAACAUAAAGUGAUUCCAAUGAAAAUUAUAUUAUUGGAAAAGUUUUGAUUCAUAGUCUUAAUCAGUUCGAGUUUCAUGUUUUAAUAAUUAAUUGAUUCUAAAUAGUAAUUUUAUGGUAUUUUCGUUAUAUGUGUAAAUCAUGACAUGCAAUUUAUUUUCUUAUAAAUGUUCUUGAUUUCUUUAUGAUAUUGAUAUAGAAAUCUAUUUUGAUCAGAGAAAAUAUUUAUCUAUGUCAAAAAUUAUUUUUUAUCUAAUAGAAUUUGUUUAUAAAGACUAGAUCGUGUUUUAAUCAAUAGAAAUCGUUAUUUGCUAUAAGCUUAAUUUUAUUUGGUUAAAAUUUUAUAUUGUGAUAGUUUGAGUGGUGAAGAGAUUUUUAGAAAUCUUAUUGAUAUUAAUUAUAAUAAGUUUUCUAGAAACAUUCAAUGUGUUGAAAGUUGUUGUUAUUCGCAUGACAUAUGUGUGAUGUUUUGGUCAUAACUUUUUCUAUAGACAUCCGUUUUGAAUGAUAUUUAGUUUUCUGGAAACUAGACUCAAUUACCUUCAAAUUGAGUACAAAAUUGGUGAUGAUUGAUUGAGUAUUGAUGUUGAAAAAUGGGUUACAAGCUGAACCAGAGUUGCUGUUUCUGUUUUGUUUUCUGUCAUUGUGUUUUAUUUUAAUAAACUGCAAGAAUUGGGACUAAAUAAAAAUAAAAUAAAAUUUUAUCUAUAAAGUAGACAUCAUAAGCUUUCCAAAGAGUAUUCAUUCACUCAAUUCUGAUAUUUGUAAGUUUUUGUCAGUUGACUAUGAAGUUAAACUCAGUUUUGAGUUGUUAUAACAUAAAUUUAGGACUGUUUUGGAAAAAAUCCACCUUAAACAUUUCUCUGGAAUUUUAUUUUACAUUGUGUGAUUUGUAUGAUAUAAUUGACUUAAUAGCUUAUGUUAUCAUAAUAAUUUUCAAGGUUGAGUGUAUGGUAGUCUUUAAUAUAUGUAUUAAUACAUGAUGUUAUAUUUGUGUGUAUAUGUGUAUGGAUUGUUAUAUAUAAUUCCUAUAUAUUUGAUUAAAGUGAGAAGUAUAUGAUUCAUCCUAGCUAGAUGAAUUCUUCGUCUAUAUACGACGGAAGCGAGGGUAAGUGGGGCACCACUUACGGACGUAAUUAUGUCCAAUCUUACCAAAAUAAAGUUACUAACAAGAAGAGGACAUUAGUAAAACUAAUGUAGUAUUUAUGACAUGCUUGUUAGGUAGAGUUUAAUUCGUUAGAUUACUCACGUCUAAUGACUUGAAUAUUUAGAAAAAGUCAAAACUUUACAUUGAAGAGAAACUCGGGAAAUAAAUAUAGUCCCAAAUUAGGAUGCCAAUUGAUUUAAUUUCAUUUAUUGGGAUCCACUGAGAUGUAAUCUCAUCCAACUUUAUUCAAAUGUGUUACAGGUAAAAAGGCUUAGAUCACAUGUUGAAGAAAUGACGCAUAUCAGUUUACAUUAUAGUCUGCUUAUAAUUUAUGGGGAAUUAUUUUGAACCAUUGAUGUGUUAUGUACUCCAUAUUUCUAUGUUUUUCUUUGAAGGAUUAGUAUGUGUAUGAAUACAUUUUCAUGACUUUGUGUCGGGAUUGUAUUAAUCAUCUCUUUUGUCGAAUUAUGUUAAUGCUCAAGUUAUAUUCUAGACAAUUAAUUUAUGGUAUUACAAUUAUUAAAAUGGUUUUUGUUUUGAAGUGUCAUUAAAUUUUAUUGUUAAAUUUUUGGAAGUGAACUAAGGAAGUCUUAGGAUUCUUGAUGCUUGUUAUAUUAGAAUUUUAGUCUAAAAGAAAUAUUUAGAAAAUGACAUUUUCACUUUAUUUUAUUGAAUUUAUAGUGAGGCAUUGUGCCAAAUAUAAACUCCACAUCUAUUUUUUAUUGUUACUUGUUUGUGUGCUUGCUAAUUUGAGAGAAUUGAUAUCUUUUAAAAAUAUAAAGAAAUUGUGUGUCUUAAAAUCUUAAGCCAACACCAAACCUUGAAUAAGAAUUAGGGAUAGAUGAAUUUUGACACUAAGUGAGUAGUAAAUUAAUUUGUAAAUAUGUAACGUAUUUAGAGUACAUGCCGUUGCGUAGGAAUCUUAAUAAUGACACUCAUAACGGUAAGAACAUUACUCCAUUCACUUUUCUACUUGAAUUAUAUGUGAUAUAAAUGUAUUGAGAUGUUAUGUAUUGGUUUUGUUUGUGUGUUGUCUUCAAAAUAUGUGUUAUAUAAAUUUCAUGUUUAUGAAUGAUAUUUUGAGAUUAAGUAAUUUGUGCAUUUUGAUUGGUAACGGGUGGUUAUUCAAGGUGAUGAUUUUGUGCAUAAACUAGGUUGAUUUAGAAAAAAGUUGAAUAAUUUUGGACGCUCUGAUUCAGUGACCUAUUAUGUUACUAACUAAGGUGAUGGAUAUUCAUGCAUGCAUUGGUGGUCUUAAUCUAGUCGCGAAUACGUGACCACAUUUGAUAGGACGUCACAUAUAGUAUUACUUGACCAAAUAAUGUUGCAAUCAACCUAGAAGGAGAAAUGCGAGGAAACCCAAUAGCAUGCAAUUGGAAGCUCUGAGAUACUUUUGUAUUGGUGUUAGACUUGUUGUGAGGGUUUUCUAGAAGCGUCCUGAAUUAUGACCAACUAUGAUUUAUUUUUUGGUAGUAAAAAUGCCAAGAGUUUUGGAUUUAGGAAUUUCUUUUAUUUUACACAUUAAAUUUACUUUUUGUAAUUGCAAAUACUCUCAUUCAUAAUUUUUUAAAUACAAUUGAAAAAGUUAUUAAUUGGUUUAAAAGUAAAUGAAUAUUUAAGAUAAUUAUAUAUAUAUAUAUAUAUAUAUAUUAAAAAAACAAAUUUGUAUCUUGUCUCAAAAAAGCGGGAUGUUACACCUCUAUUUAAGAAAUUCAAACAUUAUAUUAAAAGAAAAUUUAAACAAAUUCUUCAAAUCAUUUCAAAAUUAUUAUAAUAAUCUAUUAAAUAAAAAUGUAUUAAUUAUAAAUAUUUCUUUACCAUUCUCUACAAAAUUACACUUUAAAUAAUGUGAAAUUUUUACUCUAUUUCUCUCUCUUUUUUUUUUCCCUUCUCUCUCUUUGUACAUUUUUUACUAGUGUUUGGAGAGACGUUUGAAUAGGUUAGGCAUCCCAAGAGUUGCCAAAUCAAAGUAUGAUUAUUAUUAGGGCCAUCUUUAAUAUUUUAGAUGUCUUAUUUUAAUUUUUAAAAUUGGUGAUAAAAAUAAAAUGCAAUUUUUAUAAUUAAAAAAAUAAAAUUAAUUUUUAAUUUCUAUAAAAUUUUAGUUUUUAUUUUAAAAAAAAAUUAUCAAUUUUUUAAUCUUUAAAAAUAAUUUGUUCAUUUUUAUUCUCUAUUUUAAUUGUUUUUUUAAAUUGAUACUUUUAAUAAAAUCAAACUACGGACUAAAAAUGAAUAAUUUUUUUUCAAGACUAAAAUUUGUCAUAAUUUUGCAUGAUUAAAAAUAUAUUUAAUAAAAAAAAUAAACUCUCAUUUUAUCAUAUUAUAAAAAAAGAAUUAAAAUCCAAGAUCCUGUGACUGGAUGCAGAGGACCAUCAUCUACCCCAAGUUGUUCCCCAACAAUUUAUUAGAUUGUGCUUGGUUGGUAGGGUGUGCGAUGUACCUUAUUUUGAUUGUUCUUAAGUUAUUGUCUGGGGACGUUGUAUCUUGAAAAAGUAUAUUUUACUUAAUCUAAAAAUGAGUUUUUUUUUCUUUCUUUUUUAAAUAUAAAAAAACUGUAGCAAAAAUCUCUAAUUCUCACGACUAAUGAAGUUUUGUUACAAUUUUUUUAUAUACAGAGAGAAAAAAAAAAUUAGAUUAAUAGAACAAAAUAGUACGACAAUAUAACUGCACUCAUGAGUUCCACUCAAACCAAUUUAAUUUUAGACGGAAUAAAAUUUAUUUUAAUUGAAUGCUAACGUGGAUUUAAGAAAAUGAUGUGAUGUGUUGACAAUAAAAUAAGUGAAAAGAUUGAGAAAAUACUAAAUAUUGAAUGAGUAUAGAAAAAACAAAGGGCGGCCAGAUAGAUAAAUAAAAAAAAGACAUCAUAAUUUGGUAGUCUAACAUAAAAAAUGCAUAUAUAAAAGUUGCUUACUAGUUUAUAUUUCAUAUACUUAGAUAUCACCAAAGUUUAUCACAACAAAUGGAUUUCAGUACUAAUGAGAAUGAAGAAAAUGAACUGUAUCAUGCUCAAAUCCAUUUGUACAAACAUUUAUAUAGUUUUAUAAGCUCCAUGGCUCUCAAAUCUGCCAUGGAACUAGGCAUAUCAGAUGCAAUUUACAAUCAUGGAAAACCUAUGACUCUUCCUGAAUUAGCAUCAGCUUUGAAACUCCAUCCUUCUAAAGUUAAUAUCCUCUAUCGACUGUUGCGCCUUUUAACACACAAUGGUUUCUAUGCAAAAACAACAGUGAUGAAAGGGGAAGAAGAAGAAGAAAAAACAGCAUAUGCUCUCACACCUCCUUCAAAGCUUCUCAUCAGAGGCAAAUCAACAUGUUUAGCACCAAUGGUUCAGGGAUCACUUAAUCCACUUGCUUUGGACAUGUGGCAUUCCUCCAAGAAAUGGUUCAAUGAAGAUAAGGAGCUUGAACUCUUCGAGAGUGCAACAGGGGAUAAUUUUUGGGACGUUCUGAACGAAGAUUCUGAUAAACUGAGUUUGUUUCAAGAUGCUAUGGCAGCUGAUUCUCAAAUGUUUAAGAUUGCACUCAAAGAUUGUAAGCAUGUUUUUGAGGGUGUAGAUUCUCUUGUUGAUGUUGGAGGUGGAACUGGUGGUGUCACUAAACUCAUCAAUGAAGCUUUUCCUAACAUCAAAUGCACUGUUUUUGAUCAACCACAAGUUGUGGGUAACUUAAUUGGAAAUGAAAAUUUGAACUUUGUUGGUGGAGAUAUGUUCAACUCUAUCCCUCCUGCAGAUGCUGUUUUACUCAAGGUAUGUAUCUUCAUCUCACAAGCUUCGGCACUUUGUUUGACCGUUCUUUAUUUAUUUUUCGUGUCUGAUGUCAAUGUCAGUAUUUGUGUUUCAUUUGUGUUAAUCAAUUGUUAAUUAAUUUUGUCCAUUAUAACAAAUUCUAACAUGCUAAGUUGCCAAUUUUGUAACAUUAUUGUACCAACUAAAUAGUUAAAAUCUCAAUUGUUUUUAUUUUAUUUUUAAAGUGGGUUCUGCAUGAUUGGAAUGAUGAGCUUUCCUUAAAGAUAUUAAAGAAUAGCAAAGAAGCUAUUUCUGGGAAAGGGAAAAAAGGAAAGGUGAUAAUCGUAGACAUAUCAAUUGAUGAAACAAGCGAUGAUCGUGAAUUAACUGAGUUGCAAUUGCACUUUGAUAUGGUGAUGUUGACUCUGCACAAUGGAAAAGAAAGAGAAAAGAAAGAAUGGGAGAAACUCAUAUAUGACGCAGGCUUCAACAGUUACAAGAUUACUCCUGUAUUUGGCUUCAAGUCUCUCAUUGAAGUUUUUCCUUAAUUUUAAUUAGAAGUUGGUGCAAUUAAUUAUGCUUCAAAUCAGAAGUCAAGUUUGUAAUGUUUAUUUUGUCCAAUUUGACAUGAGUUUUCUAAGAUUGUUAUUUACAUAUAGAUUUAACCUUGUUAUUGGUUUUCUCUCGAUAUAUAGAGGAAAUAGACAUAAAGUUGUUUUAAUUUUGAUAAAAGAGUGACAUUAUUUAUUGCGAUAUAUUUUGGGUAUGGUUGUCACGGUUGUUUUUCCUUAGUCACUCACCUUGAGUGAAGAAAUGAAAAAUAGAACAAGAAAAAUAUGGGUUGAUCAAUCAGAAUUAUUAAAUGCGCCUCAAAGAAAAAUAUCUCAGUCCCACGAUAGCUUCGUGUGCUUCACUUUCAGAAUUUGAUGGCAUAAAACGUCAAUCAUGUUAUAUAAAAUGAAAUCAAUGAUACUAUUGAAAAUUUCAAUCUGAUAAUAUUUUUUACAUAAUUUGAAUAAACACGAUGCGGAGGAACCACCACCAUAUUAUUUGGUGCUAUACUAACAUAUCUCAAUAGGUCCAUUUAGUCUGCACUAAUUAAUGUAUUGGUCUAUGAAAGACUAUUUUUUUUUACUGUUAGAUUUAAUAAUCCAUCAUAUCUUAUUAUUUGCUAUCAACAUAAAAUCUAACUCUUCAACUUUGAUAUGCAUUCUCUCUCUUCAUCUUUCCCAUUCAUCAUUAUCAACUCCGAUUAUUAUUACCGUUGCUUUCUCUCUUUAACAUAUUAUGUGUUGUAUUUCUCUUUGUCUAGAUCUAUGCAAUGUAGACAAUCUAAAACUGAUGUGGUUGCUUAAAGGGAAAAGAUGCAGAAAAAAUGGGAAAAGAGUGAGUAUGGAAGAAGAAGAAUAGAUUGAGUGUAGAUGAUGUAUUAUAACACAUGUGAAGUAUAUAAAUAAAUCUGCACCGUUGAAAUUAUUUAAUUAUAUAUCUACAGUUAAAAUGAAAUUGGUCCAUUUUGGACCAUUCUUUUUAGGUUCAUUCUAUAAGAAACGUAUCUCAAAUCGUCAGCUCUAUCAAAUCAGCAUGCCACAUGAUCGUUGGACAAAUUAAUGAGUCAUUCACUAAAAGUAUAACUUGAACUUGUUUGACCACAGAAGUUGGACCAAAGAGUAUUUUGUAAGUAAAAUUCCAUUUUUAGUCUCUUAUUGUAUUUAGUUGGAACAGUUUAGUCUUUUUGUUUUUCUAAAUCGAUUAUUUAUUUUUCAAAACAUGUCAACAUUAACCUUUUUUAAUUUUUGGGAUUUAUUGUUUUAUUUUUUUUGUAUUUUUCUUAAAAAAAAACCCAACAAAAUUAAUGUUCAAAUAUCAAAAUUCUCAAAUUUAAAAAUAAAUCUAAGGUCUAUUUAGAGACGUGUAAAAUAUAUAGUUAAUUAAACUAUAUUAAUCAAUUGAACUGUUGCAUACAAAAAUUAAACCAAUUAAAUAGUUUAUGAAUUGAACAAUAUAUUUAAAAUAAAUUAAUUAAUCAAAUUUCAUUUUAAAAUCAAUUGAAUACUUUUUUUUAACUUCAAUUAAGAUUUUUUUUCUUUAAAAAUUCUCAAAUUUAUUUUAUCGAAUUUGUUUUUAAAUAAUUUAUUUCUCAUAAUAUUUUUGGUGAUUACAAAAAGAAGAUGACAAUAAGUUUAGCAUGAUUUUAGCACGUGAAAAUCAAUGAAUAUUAGAUGGAUACAUAAUCACGUGAUAUUUUUAACAAGGUAUACAAGAUUCGAUCCGUCCUGCGAAUUCGUCUUGUACCGUAAGCAAUGGGACGGGUUUGACCUAGUUCUAAAAAAAAUAAGGACAAAUGAAAAAAUGAAUGGGUUCAAAUUAUCUCUUGGGUUACUCAUCUUAAAUUAAUUUAAGUAUAAAUAAUUAUAUUUUUUUAUGAUUUUAGGUUAUUAUUGAUUCAUGCUCUCUAAAAAAAUUAGUCACUAACUUAAUAAUUUAUAGUUUGUUAAACAAUAUUAUGAUUUACUACUCUUGAAUAAAUUGACAUAACCAUAUGGGAAUUAUUAUGAAUUUCUUUGUGUUUAAUUGUUUUUUUCUAAAACAAAAUUUAAAGAUUACUAUUUGGUAUUUCGUGUUGGUACCAAGUCGGUCUCGUCUUUAUUUUGUCUAGUUCACAAUGAACUUGUAACUCAUGGGGUUUGAUUGGGUUAAAAAACAGAUUAUGUUUAAAAUAUGUCUCGAUCAAAUAUUGAGACCAAACAAGAGACACAUCAAAACCGACCUAAGUGUCAUUUCUACACUCCUAAUUUUUAGUGUCAAAAUCUAAGAGGAAAAAAGUUUCUCUCAGAUCUAAACCGUUUCUAUUGAGUUGCAUUGUCUGGUUGCUUUGGGUGCGGAAGAUUUUUUUACUUAAAUAAUCAUGCUUGACUUAAACUGGCACUUUAUUUUGUUAUUUUGUUGUGAAUAACUUUUUUAUGAAUAUCCAUACAUUUUCGAUUUAGAAGUAGUCUCACAGAAGUUUGUACCAAUUUCUAUCUUUCUCUUGGUGGGUUUAUUUUUCAAGUGAUUUGAAGCACACGAGAGUUCUGUUUUUUAUAGAUAUAUCUCUCACUUUUUGAAAUAUAUAUUUUUAUAAUAUUAUUUAGUAGAACUUUCUAUUGUUAGCAAAUGCAGAAAAAUCUUGAAGAGAAAUGAGUUGAGUAAGAAUCACACUCUAAAUGCUUAUUUACUUUGUAACGAUCUGAAACAGAUUUGUUUUUAGUUUCUGUUUCUCAUAAACUAACAUGACCUAUUGACCUUAUUUUCCUUUCCUUGAUUAAGUAGCAAAAGGAAAAAAAACAAUUACUGUUCCAAUUAUCUCCACGCAAAAUACAAGCUCGGGAAAUUCAUUUCUAACAUGAAGCACUGGACACUAUUAAUAUGACCCUAACAACUUCAAAUUUAAAUCAAGAAUAAACUUCAAUGAGAGAGUUAAAGUCACUUAUGGGGUUAAUUUUAUAGCUACUGAAACUUGUAUCGUAAAUAAGUUUCUCCCAGUUUUUCUUUCUUUUUCAAGGAACAUUCUCAACAUCCCCAAAUCAUAGUCGAAUUGCAACCCAACUAAUCCACGGUCAUCACUUGUUUCCAUCUUUCCCUUUUCUAGAAAUAGCUUCUUUAAUGUUAUUCAAUAUCUUCAAAGAUUGUUCAUCAUUCCAAUUGUGUAGAACCCACUAUAAUAAAACAAUUGAUAUUUAAUUUAGCUAUUUGGCUGUACUACAAGAAUAAAUAGAUAUAUCUAGGGCCAUUAAGCCCUCACAAUAAAGCCUUAGAAAAAUGCUUAAGUUAUUUUCAAGUACCAAAACCUUAGGAAAAUACUGUCUUUUUGAGUUUGUGAGGGUCAAAGUCAUUGGUAUUGACAUUAAAACAUUGUUAGAGCUAAACUCCUCGGUGAAAUCCUCGAUUAUACUUUCAAACCAUCUAUUAUACUUUCAUCACUACUUUUAUUCUAAUGUAUCUUUUAUCUAUUUUCCAGCUCCCUUAUACUAGUAUGUAAAUUAAUUAUUUUUUUAUAUUAUGUACUUUUUUAUUAUAUAUUUAUGUGUUUUUUUAAUGUAGUUUUGGAGUUAGCAUAUUUAUAGAAAUAAUGUUACGUGUGAAAUGUGAUUUGCAUGUUAUAUUUCAUAACGUAAAAUGUGUUUGAUAUAAAAAUAUGAAAAUUAAAAUUUUAGAUGAUCGAUUUUGAAUUUUUAUGUAUAUUGUAUUUAUUGUUCAUUUUUAGAAAAUAUGUUAAUUUGUAUAUUUGAAAAUAUGUAAAUGCUAUUUUAUAUUUUAAUGAAAAUUUAUUCAAUUUUAUAUAAAUUUAAAAGUAUGUAUUUAGUUGUAUAAAUGAUUUAUUAUAAUAUAUUACAAUUUUAAUAAAAAAUUAUAAAUUUAAUUAAAUUUUUACCAGAAUAAAUUCAUAUAAUUAAAUUUAAAUUUUAUUAUAAUUGAAUUUUUAUAAUUUUUAAUAAAUAAAAUUAAAUCAUUUGAUUUUUAUAAUAUUAAUAUAAAAUAAAAUAUUCUAAUUUAAUUUUUUAUUUAUUUGUAGCAUCAUUUCUGAGUGGCAGAGCACUGAUAUGUAAUACUUGUGAGGGUCAUAAUUCUAACAAAGAUUCUCACACUUGAGAUUUGUGAGUGUCGUGACACUAGAAAAGAUUAUGUUGCCAGCGUCACUGCCCACUUUCAUUUGUGAGGGUGUUGGCCUUAUGAAUGAUUCUUGUUUUUAAAAGCUUGUUUUUUGCAUUUCAGCCUUAGGUAUCAAUUUCCGACAAACAUCAUACUUAGAGUCCUGUGGCCUUAGGAAUGUUUCAUUUUCCAGGACGUUUUUAUUUAUCAUUUUUCAGGGCGUUUGACCUUAAAAAAAAUACAUAAUUGUUGUAGUGCUGAUAUAGACUCUAACAAGCUAAGUUACGAAAAUUUGUAACAUUUUUGUACCCAGUGUAGAAGCUAGCCAUAAUUUAAGGAGGGGCUAAACAUAAAAGAAAAAAUAAAACAUAUUUUUUAAAAUAAUAUAUUAAACUUAACUAAUAACUAAAAAAAUCACAAUAAUUUUUAUUUAUAUAAAAUAUAAAUUAAAACAAUAUAAAGAAAAUAACAACUAACAAUAGUUAACUAAAAAAAUUGAGUUUAAUGACGUUUUAAAUAAUCAAACUCAUUUGAUGCAUACUAAAUAGACUAACAAUAUCUCUUUUAAUAUAAACAAUUAAUUUAUAUACAAGAAACUGGUCAUCUGUUUUAUUUAUGAGUUUCAUUAUCAACAAUGAAAUCGAUUAAGAUAGGACUUGUAAAUAAACUAGACGAUAAAUUUUUUUGCAAAUAUUUAGUUGUUUACGUUGGUAAACUCUACGUCCGUAAACUCUACUUUUCAAAAUAACUAUCAUUAAUUUUUAUUUUUUGUGGGACUUUAAAUUAUAUUUUAUAUAACAAAGAAAAUAAUUGUGAAUUUUUGUGUUAAUCAAUUAAAAUUAAUUUUAAUUAAAAAUAAAUUGAAUAUAAAUUCAUUUAUGUUUAAAUACAUUAAUACAAAAGUAAAUCUCAUAAAUUUAUAUUUUUUUGGAUAGUUGGAUCAAAAUUGGUUUUUAAUAUAUAGUUAAUGAAAUGGGUAUUAAAUCUUAGAUUUUAAUUUUAUUUUAGAUCAUUAUUUAAAAAAAUUUAUAAUUGUUUGUCCUAUUUUUAGGAGAUAUUUCUUUUUCAUUUAGAUAAUUGAUUAAAUUUAUUUUUUCUACGGGGUUGUUUAAACUUAGGCAAAAUUAUUAAAUUUAUAAAAUUGUAUUAUAAUUAAAUUUAUCUUGGUAUACUUUUUAAAAAAAUCUUUAAAAAAGACUCUACAUAGGCGUUGAAUUUUUCCGAUUUUUCUUGUUACAUGAUUCUUUUCCUUAUAUUAAUCCACUAAAUUAUUUUUAACUUUGGAGAGUAGUACUUUCGAAAAAAACGAUAAUCCUUUUUAAAGUAUUAAAUUGAUCUUUAUAUUUAGUCAAUUACUAUUAAUCAUGUUUUUUUUUUAUUUUAACAAUUUAUUAUCAAUUUAAUCUCUAUAUUUAACAUGUUACUAUCGAUUUAGUCAUUAACCUACUUUCACAACGACUAGUACGAGUAACAUUCAACAGAAUUAUGAACUUUUUUAAAAUAUUCAUAAUCUCACUAAUCUAUUUGAAAUUUAUAUAGUUAGAGACAAAUUGAGUGUUUUACUCCUUAUAUUAAAAAGGAUAGUUAGAUAAAAGACUACUAUUGGAGAGAUGCAAUGAAAUUAAUUUGAAGAGAAAUAGUAAUAAGAUUCUUAUUCUUUAAAAAUAAAUUACACAAAAAGUGGUAAAAUCCAUAUAAAUUUUACACAAUAAAAAAAUUAGUAUUAAAAAAUAAUAUUUCUUACAUUUUUCAUAAUUUAAAUACAACAGAAGUUACAAAAUCAUAUUUCUGUCGAAGUUGAUUCCAAAAUGUAGAAUAAAUUUUGCUUCAAACAUCCAAACAGUUUAAUAGCAAGAGUUGGACUAUGUUUGACUAAUGUAACGAUGAGUUUGGGAUUGGGAUUGGGAUUGGGACGUGCAACCAAAAUUUUACUAAAUGUGUGUUUAGUUUAAGAAGAAAGAAACUAGUUCAUUUUUCUCUCUAUGAUCUCUCUCACAAAUAUUUUUUCAAUUCAAAACAUGUGAAGAAUUAGUGUUAUUUUUAGAGACGUUGAUGAUGUUGUUUUAGUUGUUAGUCUCGAAUUCCACUUGAUCAUUCAGUUUGCUUUAUAUUUAGACUUUUGUCGUAUCUUGAUUGAUGGGGACUCCUUAAACACUAUUCACACAUUGCUCAUUUCAUCCAUCCACAGCACGUACUUUGGUAUAAUUAUUUAGGAUUGUCACACAAUUUCUUCUUCCUUUUUUCUACUUGUUUAUUUUCUCAUAUAAGAAGAAUUACAAUUCGGCUACAAUUUUAGCUAAUUUUAGCUUAAACUCCAUUGACUUUAUUUAGAUUGAUGAAGCCUUCAUAUAUAAUCUUAUUAUGACAGUAAGUUAUCCUAUAAAAAACAUACUUUUCCUAUUUUCUCAAAGUAUUUGUUUCUAUUUCAUUUUGUUUACAAAAGUAUUUUAUUUUUGCAUCAUCGUGAAGGAUUGAUACUCCCUUUUUAUUCAUGCAUGACACUUUUUCAAAAGAAAAUAAUAAUAAUAAUAAUAAUAAUAAUAAUAAUAAUAAUAAUAAUAAUAAUAAUAAUAAUAAUAAUAAUAAUAAUAAUAAUAAUAAUAAAAGAUAUAAGGCCAAUUUGAAGUACUAAGCCCAAUGAAAAACAAUAGGGCCGAUUAUCUUCCAAAAAGAUUUCGGUAUUUUUUUAAUUCUAUAAUUAAUUCAGUAGUGUAAAAUUCUAAUCUUAUAGUAAAAAAAUAAUAUUAAUGAUAUUGUAAAAAAUUCAAUUUGGUAAUAAUUUUUACAUCCCCACAAAAAUUAUAGGCUCAAUUAGAGAAAAAGCAUUUAAUUAUUAAAAAAUCAAUAAUACUAGUAGUUUUUUUUUGUUACGCUGAUUCUAGUUCAAUGGUAAUGGGAGGAACAAAAACUAACAUACUUUCUUUAAAAUACUUAAGAUGUUUUUCAACAAUUUUUUUAGUAAUCGUAAUUUCUGUAUUUAACUACAAUAUUCACAAUAGAUUAAAACAAAAUAAUAAAAAAAAUGUUUUCAAGAACUACAAUAUUUUCUAUGUAUUUAGUUUUCUUUGUUCUUUUUCUGAAAUUUUCUUAAAAAAUAUUUAAAAAUUUGUUUUAACUGUUUUUUAUGAAAAAAAACGGAACAGUACAUUAAAAAAAAGACCCUUUUGUAAUAACAAAAUUUUCAAAACUCAAAACACGUAUGCAUUGUAAUAAGCAAAAUAUUACGAUUAUUAUCGGGAGUUUCUAUCGUACAUCUAUAAAUUCAAAUGUUUUACUAUAUUUGUUUUAUAAAUUAAUUAAUUAAUAAUUAUUUUUAUAAGUCAAACAAUUAUUUAUUAAUUUUUAUAUGGCGUAGACAUUUAGAUCUAUUUGCUGCCCACUAAUAAUAAUAAUUUUUAUUGUGUUGUAUCGUCAGGUUUCUUUGGGUCGGCAAAAUGUUUUUUUUCAUAAAUAAUCACGAUUGACUUAAACCGUCACUCCAUUUUGUUGUGAAUACAUUUUUUAAUGAAUAUCCAUACAUUUUCUCUGUGAGAGAGUAGUCUCACAGCAGUUUGUACCCCAAUUUAUUAGUAUAUCUUGGUGGAUCUUCACGUGAUUUGAAGCGGGACCACUUCAGUUUUUUAAUAAAUAAAUAUCUGUCGACUGUUUGAAAUAUUAUACUUUUAAAAUAUAUUUUAGUAGUAUCUUUCUGUAGAUAAUUGUCAAAAUCAUUCAGAUUUGAUGCGAUAAUUGUUGCGUGGUUUGUUUGAGAGAAAAUAGUUGUCAGAAUUUUAUUUUAUUAAUAGAAAAAUUAAAUAAAAUUUUAAAUGAUAAUUUUAAAUAAAUUUUUUGAAUUUAGAAGUCAACAUAAGUAGGAAAAAUAUUAUUAUCGUAAGUGUCUCUCAAAACGACUAUCUUAUAAUUAAUUAUAUAUAAAUUAUUUAUUUAUUAAUUAUUUAUUUUACUCAAAAAUAAUAAAUAAAUAAAAGACAAUAAAUUAUUUACAUUAAUAAAAGAGUAAUUUUUUUUUUAAUUUGAUUUAACAAAAUUAAAAAAUUUACUGUUACGUAUUCUCAUAUGCAAUGGAGAAUCAAAAUACACGUAGUUCUUAGUAUAAAAUAUUUGUAUGUUGGUCAAUUUUAAUUUUUAUUAAUUUUAAUUUCUAAUUUAUUUGUGUGACUAUCAUGGGGGACUAAUAUCGCGCAUUGAAAAAUAAUUAGGUGGUCCAACAAUCGACAAAUUCGAUUUGGUGAAAAAGAUAACAAAUAUGUUGUAUUUUUAUUUUUAUCUUUUUUAAUUAUCUUAUUUUUUAAAGUAUUUUCAAGUUUACUUAAAUGAGUAUUUGUGUGAAGUUUGUAAUUUUUUAUAUAAUACUAAUUGUUGAAGAAUGCGUUUUUUCAAUUCAAUAUUUUAUAUUUAGAAUAUGAAAAUGAUUUUUUUUUAAAAAAAUUAUAACAUCAUAUAUACAAAACAACAAACUAUAUAGUAUUAUAAAAAAAGGGAAAAUAAUCGGCUAUAUGAACAAAGUUAACAUGAAAACAAUAAAUAAAAACGAAGAAAUUGGUUUAUAAAAAAGAUACAUGAAAAGCAACAAAAAUAAUAAAAAAAAAAUAAAAAAAAAAACUAUUGUACUAGUUUGUUUCAGAUAAACAAAAUUUACAUACCGAUUUUUCAAGAUCGUUUUGUCUCCUUUUUAUCUUUGUCUUUUAUUUUUCUUUUUAUUUUUUAAAAUGGGUGUUUUUAGAGAAGAUUGUGUAAGAAUAGCGCAACAUGUGGACAAAUUGCAACACGUAACACGGAUUGAUAUUUUCUAAUCUCCCAUUCUAAGACUCUCAUAACACUCUUAUUUUUAUUAACAAAUUAGCUUAAGUAAAUUUUAAAAAUAAAUGUCUAUCAUUAUGAUUAAUAAAGGUGAAUCCUCAAAUUUUAUUUUUCUAAUAAAAUAAAAAUAAAAAUUUUCUCAAAUUCCAAAAAUCAUAUUUGUCACAUUAAAUACAAACAAAACAAAUCAAAAGCAUUGGUAUUUAAUUUACUCCAAAAUAUCUCAUAUUUAUUAAUCUUAUAUUUAAUUUCAUUUUUUUUUCUAUUAAAUAAAAUAAAAUAAAAAUGAAUUAAUAUUUUUUAUUACUAUGUUAUUAUUGGACCAAAAAAGUGAUAAUUAAUAAUACAUAAAAAGUCUAACAUAUAUCUCUUUUUACUAACAAGAAAAUAUUAAAUAUUAUACGAAAAUUUAAAUAAAAAUUAUAUAUUAAAAUAACAAAAUAAAAAGUUAGGAUACAAAGUCCAAAACACCAUUUUUGUUAUUUUUUUUAAAAAUAAUAAGAAAAGCAAAUAAAAUUUGGUGUCGGCAAUUCUAAUUUAUAUUUACUUAGUUGAUUUGUACAUAUAGAAUUGUAUAUUAUUUCCUUUAUUAGACAUAGUUUUAUUGAGAACAAUAUUAUCUUUGAUCCUUAGAUCGACAUGGUAUCAGAACACGAUUUGAACCAUCUCUAGCACUUUUUUGUUUUGCACCUGCUCUACCAUGUCUACAUGCCUUGAGUCUUCUUCUUCCACUGUGGGGAUUGGUACAACUCUAACCAGUCUCAUUGAAGGGCCAAAUCUUCACCUUCCUAUUACUGACCACAAACUAAAUGGUCAGAAUUUUAUUCAAUAGGAAAGGUCACCCCAUCUUCCUCCAAUGAAAAGGAAAAGGAAAAGGAAAAUAUAUAUAUAUAUAUAUAUAUAUAUAUAUAUAUAUAUAUCACACACACAUAUAUAUCACACACACACACAAAACUGCAAAGCUCAAAAAACGAGAUUCAAACCAUGAAAAUGACAGUUGGAAAAUAGCCUUUUCAUUUCUUGGCUCCUCAACACCAUGACCAAUGACAUUGGGGAAAAAAUUAUGUACUAUAACAUAGCUAAAGAAAUGUGGUAGGUUGUGAAAGAAACGUAUUCCAAUCAAGCUAAUACCUCUACUAUAUUUGAGAUCAAAAGCAUUCUCCAUGAUCUCAUAUAAGGUGAGCAUUAUGUUAGUGAGUAUUUCAACAAUCUUAUUAAGCACUGGUAGCAACUAGAUAUUUAUGAAGCUAUUGAAUGGAAAUGUCCAGAUGAUAAAAAGCAAUAUAAGGAUUUUGUGAAUAAUUCAGAUUUGAUAUGAUUUGGAUUUGUAUUUAAUUAGUUGAUUGGUCCAGCCAUAAUUGCAUAUUAUUUCCUUUAUUAGACAUACUCUUAAUGACAACAAUAUCUCCUCCUUGUCUGUAGGCCUAGAAUUAAUUAUUAGGACCAUAAAUUUGUUUAUAUAUUUCCUUCUUGUAGUAUUCAAAUUGAUAAAGUGAAUAAACUAUCACCUUUCUCCAUUUCCCUCUUAAAUAUGAUUUAAUUAAAAAUCACUUCAUUUAAUUUGUCAUAAGUAGAAAAAGGGAACACCAAUGACUUUUCCAAUUGGAACAAUGAUCUCUACACCAAUAACAAGUUUGGGAAAUUCGUUUCUUAUAGGAAUCAAUAAACACCAAUACAAUCCAAAAAAAUAAAGACGCUAUUAAUUUGACUCUCAAAUAGAAACUUAUUAAAUAUGAGGCAUAACUGGACCCAAGCUGCUUCAAGUUAAAGUUAAGGAAAAACUUCAAUGAUGGACUUAAAGCCACUUAUGGUUCUAAUUUUGUAACUACUGAAACCAGCAUCGUAAAUAAGUUUCUCCCAUUCUUUCUUUUCUCUUUCUUUUCCAAGGAACAUUGUCAGCAUCACCAAAUCAUAGUCCAAUUGCAACCCAGUUAAUUCACGAUCAUCACUUGUUUCAUCGAUUGAUAUGUCGAUGAUAAUCACUUUUCCAUCUUUCCCUUUGCCAGAAAUAGCUUCUUUACUGUUCUUCAAUAUCUUCAAAGAUUGUUCAUCAUUCCAAUCGUGUAGAACCCACUAUAAGAAAACAAUUGAGAUUUAAUUUAGCUAUUUGGUUGAUACAAAAAUAUGCAGCUUAUUUAGUAUGCCUUAGUUUUUAUGAUAAUUGUAAUACACUGUGACGAGAAUUUAAACAUAAUUCUCUAUUAUGUAACUCUAAACUACCACAACCACUAUGCACUCAAAGAAAUAGGCUCAAUAUAUCAAACUACAUGAUCAAUCAUUCUAGGUAGGGGGAAAUUUAGUAUUCUAUUCCUACUUAAUUUGUUACUAAUUGAGUUUAGAUUUGGUGUCAUCGACUACACUAUAGUCAGCAGUCAGCACAUCUAAAUCGUCUUAUUAGGAUUGAACGAUUUAAAUUUCAAGUUCGAAUUUAAAUUAUUUUAAAUCUAAAAAUUCGUGUUUGAAAUUUCAAUUAUUCGAUCUCAAUGUGACCAAUUGCAACCAUUCUCAGAUUAUUAAUAUUGACAAUUAAAAAAAAAAAGUAAAAAUUGAUGAGCAAAUAUACCUUGAGUAAAACAGCAUCUGCAGGAGGAAUAGACUUGAACAUAUCUCCGCCAACAAAGUUCAAAUUUUCAGUUCCAGUUAAGUUACCAACAACCUGCGGUUGAUCAAAAACAGUGCAUUUAAGGUGAGGAAAAGCUUUAUUGAUGAGUUUAGUGACACCACCAGUUCCACCUCCAACAUCAACAAGAGACUCCAAACCCUCAAAGACAUGUUUGUUCUCUUGAAGAGCAAGCUCAAACAUUCUAGAAUCAGAUGCCAUAGCAUCUUGAAACAUACUCAAAGUAUCAGAUUGUUUGUUAAGAAAGUCCCAAAAGCUCUCCCCUGUUGCGCUCUCAAACAGGGUUUGUUCCUUAUCCUCAUUGAACCAUUGCUUAGAAGCACUCCACAUGUCAAGAGAACUUGGAUGAAGCGCUCCUUUAACAAUUGGUGCUAAACAUGUUGAUUUUCCACUCACAAGAAGCUUUGAAGGAGGUGUGAGAGAAUAUGCUAUUUCUCCUUCUCCACCUUCUUUGGCAUUCACUGUUGUUUUAACAAAGAAACCAUUGUAUGUUAAUAGGCGUAAGAAACGAUGGAGGAUGUUAACUUUAGAAGGGUGGAGUUUCAAAGAUGUGGCUAAUUCGUUAAGAGUCAUGGGUUUUCCAUGGUUGUCGAUUACAUCUGCUAUGCCUAGUUCCAUCACAGAUUUCAGUGCCAUGGAGCUUACAAAGUUGUAUACAUGUUUGUAUAAAUGGAUCUGAGCACGGUACAGUUCAUUUUCUUCAGAACCGUUGCUAUUGAAAUCCAUUCCUCUUUUCUUCUUUGACUGUGUCUUGUGUUUUGGUGGAAAUCGAUAUGAAGAAAUUAAACUAUAGUGUGGAGUCUUUAUAAUGACUUCUCUCCUAAGAAACAAUCAAUUAUAAAUUAAUCAACAUCAUAUAUUUUCUCUCCUACCAAACUAAUUAAAUAUAAAUUAAUCAAUUAGUUUGUUUGUUUAAGAAAUUUAUAAAAUAUUUUUUUUUAAAACAAAUUUUAUGAUAAUUUAUUUAAAAAUAAUAUAAAUUAUAUUUAGACUCGCUUAUUAUUGAUUAAAAAAAAUUAUUUUUGACACUUAAGAAUUUAAAUAUUUAUUAUUAUUAAUUUUAAUAUGAUAAAAAUUAUAUUUAUUUUUAAAAAAAUAUUUCUUUUAAAAUAUGUUAUUUAUGUUGUUUUCAUCUAACAAGUGGAUGAAUAUUAAAGCGUAUCUUGAAAAAAGACUCUUCUUAGCACUAUUUAAUUAUUUAAAUUAAUUUAUCAUUGUAAAUUUGAUUUUAAAAAAUUAUAAAUAAAAAAUAUUUUAAAAAUUAUUUAUUUUAAAAAUCCUAAAUAAAUGGAUUAUAUAUUUCAUUUGUUUCUUAGAAAAACAUCAAUCAAUUUUAUUUACUCACUUAUAUUCUAAGAUUGAAAAGUAUCUAAUAGUAUCUCAGAGAAAAAAUAAUGGACUACGUUGUUUUGUUGUUAGGCAUCAUAGAGGCGGCGAUAUAUUAGGAUCAGACACAGUAGAGGUAAGUGAUGUUGUUGUGUGAGGGGGGAGUAGGUGAAAUUUUGGGUAGGUGAGGACUGAGAACUGAGGACUUGAUGAGUGAAGAUGGCUCAGUGAGGGGGUUAGCUAGCUAUUUUACUUUUUCUUGUUCUUUCUUAUUUGCCACCUACCAAUUUUGUUUGACCAUAUCAUAUCUCAUUGAUGUACUUAUUUUAAACGAGUAUUAUUAAUUUGUGACAGUACUUCUUAUAAUUUUGUCCAAAAAAUCUAUCGAUUCUAUAGUUUUAGUUAAAUUUAUUAUUGUAAAACUUGAUUAAAAGUUUAAUGAUUUCAUACGGUUAUUCUUUAUUUAUUUUUUAAAAAAAUUACAUACACCAAACAAUUUUUUUCCAUUGUUUUCAAAUAUAAUUAUAUUUAUUACUCCAAAUUAAAUAGACAACAUUUUAGAAUUUUUUUAUUUUUAAAUCACAACAAAGACUAGUCUAUAGUGACCGCCUACUUAUCAUGUACACUAUGAGUAAUUGACAAAGAUGUGUGCCCACUUUCAAACAAUUACGAAAAUAAAGAUAUGGGUCCUUGUCAAGAAUACACCUUUAUUGAAAUGUUAAAAGAAAGUUGAUUGAUGUCACUUAAAUUAAUCUAUAAAUUUUAUAAAUUAAUACAUAUAUUUUUAAAAUUAUAAAAUAUUAAUUUAAAUAAUAAAUGUUUAAAUUUUUAUCAUUUUAGAUUAUCAUAUAACAUUACAAUGGAAUAUUUGACUUUUUUACAUUGAUUUUAUAUUAUUUUCAUUAAAAUGCAAACUAAUUUUUUUAAUAAAAUUUAUAUCUUUUAUGGACUUCUUUGUCUAUAAUUAAUUAGUGCACAAUUACAAUUAUUUACAAAUUUAUCACUCAGACACCAAAAUUUUAUAGACAAAAUUGUGUCAUAAAUAUUAUAUUAAUUUAAGAUCAAUGUGAAUAAGUAAUAUAUUUAGCUAUUAUGUCAUAUCAAAAUAGUAAUGACAAAAAUUUAUAUAAGAAUUGUUUUGAUUUAAUAUUUUAUAAUUUUAAAUAUACAUUUAUCAAUUCAUAAAAUUAAAAAUGACUAAUACUUACAAUUUCAACGAUCAAUUUUUAUUUUUACUUUUUUUGUAAUCAGUCAAAGAGCGAUAAUAAAUAUUACUCCUUCACUAUUUUUUAUAAAAAAACCUGAAACCUAGACUAAAGGAAUUGAAAGUAAAAAUAAAAAUAGAAACUUGAAGAAUCGUAACCUAAAUAUAUUCCAGGAAAAUGCACAUCUCAUAGUUUCUUCUCCUUCAAGAAACAACAAAGUUCUUCAUUUCUGUCCAAACGUGAGAGUAGGUGGCCGGCCUCCUUAAAAAACUGACAAGACUACAAAGUACAAACCGAGAAAAAGAAUUAGAAAAUGGAUAGAAAAAAAAUAAAGAAAAAACUUUCCAUAAGGGCUUACAAUUGUACACAUAGCCACUGCCUCCUCCGUACCCCGCACUCGACUUAUCAGAGAAAAUUCACACUCGCAUCUGUUUUAUAAUGGGUGUGAAAUUUAAAUCUUCAUCUAUGCCUACAAUGGAGUUUGGGUUUCUCCGUCCACACCCGUAUUCAUUUAUAUAUAUAGAAUUAUAAAUUUAAAAGUUAUAUAUAUAUUAUAAUUAAUAUAAUAAAAUAAUUAUUAUUAGAUAAUAAUAAAAUAAAAAUUUAUUUUCUAUAGAGAUAACAUUAUAAUUUUUAAUACUUUAAAAAAUAUUAAGUAUAUUUAAUAUGUAUAUGUAUAGAAAAUUCAAAAAUUACUAUAAUAUAACUUGCGGUGCGGGUUCGAAUUCAUGUACUGCGUGGAUAUCAACACCCCCUAAACCCGUCUCUGCCUCCGAAAUUUAAUUUCGGGGAAAAUCCGCAUCCGCACCCAAUUAAAGCGGGUUUUCCCUAUCCAAAUCAAACGAGUUUUGAUGGAUAUUCGCAAAUGCGUAUUAUAUUGUCAUCCCUAGCCACCACCACUCUAUUCCCAAUGUCUACAAAUCUAAACUAUUUUUCUCUCAUUGUCCUCUCUAGCCCUCUAAUUCCCUUUAACUAACCAAAACCCCGAUUAUUUUUAAGCACAUUAUUACAAUUCCUGAUUUAAUUUAUUAAUAAGAAAUAAAUAAAUAAAAAUAAAUUAAAUGAUAUUGAUAAUAAGAAGAAUUAAUUACAUGAAUAUUUAAAAAUAUUUAUAUAGUUAAUUAGAUAAACAACUAAUUAGUAUAACAUAACUAACUAGUUAGUAUAACAAACUUAACUAAUUAAUCAAUUAAGAUAUUUAACAUCCCCUCAAGCUAGAAUGCGGUUAUCACAUUUCUAGCUUGGAAAAUGUAAAAAAAAAAUUGUCGAAAAAGUCAUUAAUUACAAAUAAUAUAAAAUGUCAAAAUACAUCCACUAAAGGAUUUUGAAAUGUCGGAAAUAAAUCGGCAAAAGAUUUUGAAUGGCGAAAAUACAUCAACUAGGAAUUUUGCCAAAAAUACUUUGGUUAAAAGAUUUUCAACACCAAAAUACACCAAUUAAACGAUUUUUUUUUUUAAUAUUUAUUUUUUGUUUGAAAUAAGAACAAGAAAUAUUAUAAUACAAUCUUCUUUUUUUCUUUUUUUUGUAGUAGGCGUCGAAUCAAAUCUAUCCCUCAUGUAAGAUCUUUUCUUGUCUUUCUUUCUUGUGAACAAAAUCUCACAUGCAAUUUAUUGGUAAUUAGUUUAAACUUGUAGAUGAGAAUCUAAUUAUAGAUUUUUUUUCUUCUAGAAACAAGAAUAAUCUUGCAUUUUUUGUGUUGGUAAGUGGAAAUCUAAAAUCUACACUUCCAUGCAAGAUCUUUACUUAGAUUUUUUAAUGUCAAUUUAACUAAAAAAUUACAAAUGUCAUUAAGUGUCACGUGAGAGUAUCAUAUAAUAAAAAAUUGGUGGAGAAGAAAAAAAAUCACAAGAAUUAAUUAAAUCUUCACUAAAAAACAAAAAGACUACAAUUAUAUUUUUGACCAAAUAGAAACAAAAAAUUGAAGAACUAAUUAUGUAACUCAGUUAAAAUAGAGAUAAAAACUGACAUUAAGUCUAACGACUUUUAUUAGGAGGAUUCCUGUGUACCUAGGAACCAAAUACUUUCAUCUCACUCGCGUCACGUGCCGCAUAAUUCAAUUAAGUGGAAAAUUUAGUAACUUGUCGUAAUUUUUUAUUUUCUUUUUUUGACAAAGACGUCAAUAUUGGCAACCCGCAACCCAAUCGCCUUGACCGUUCGUGCACGAUGGACAAAAAUAUAAUUAAUUAAUAUUAAUUCUUUCCUUGAAGAUCGUCGAAAAGUCACUGGCUGCAUUUUCUUGACCGAGUUUAUUCAACAGUUGAAUCAGAUACUCCCUUUGAUAUCUAAUAAAAUUCACAUUUUUUGUAAUAAAAUUAAUAAAUUUUCUCAUAUUUGAUGUAAAACUAACCCAUAUUUAAUAUCACUCAUCUCUUAACUUUCAUUCUUUUAAUAUUAAACAUAUAUUAAAAAAUAAUAAGUUUAGAUAAAAUUAAUUUUUUAUUUUUUAUUCAGCAAUUAAAAAAAAAUUAUUUAAUAUAUGUUUUCAGAUUUUUAAUAGCACAAAAGAAAAACAUCAUAAAUUAUAUAUUGAGUGUUUGAAAAAAUCAAUUUUUUGUAAAAUAAGAAAAAUACUUAAAGGAAUCAAAGGUCCACAACAGAUGGUGAACUACGAUUUUUUAUAUUUUUAAAGUUUAAUUUCACAUUUAAUAUCUUGUUUUACCACAUUCACAAAAAUAAUUCUAUUUUAAAGUUAAAUUGCUUUUAUUUCUAUUUUUUUUAUUUUUUUUAGCAAUUUAGAUUCAAAAUUAUAAUUUUGAUCUAUCAAAUUGUGAUUUUUAGUAUAAAAAAUGGUGAUUCAUAACCCUCAUUUGUAAAUUUGAAGAAAAAUAUAAUUUUAAGUGCAAAAAAAACUAUUUUUUGAACUAAAAAUCAUAAUUUUAUAGGUUUAAACUAUGUUUUUGGACCUAAACAACAAAUGUGAAAAAAGAUGGAUCAAAAAAUUUGUUUUUUUAAAUAUGAGGACUAUUUGUGAAUAUGUAAAAAUAAGGGAUCAGAAGUACAAUUAAGUCUAUUUUAAAUAUCUUAUUUAUUAGUCAUUACAUUAAGAUAAUUUAGACAAUAAAUUUAAUUUUUUUUACUUGAAUUACAUAAAUUAAAUGUGAUCAAUAUAAUUUUUUUUUUAAAGAAUUUAACAAAUUUUAUUGUAAUUAACUCACACAACUGAAAUGUCUCAAGUUCGAACCCGAGCAAGACGUCUAACCUAACAGUAUCGGUAUUUGUCAGUUGAUCUAGGAGUUAAGGACACCAAUAACAUUUUUUUAAUACGUAGAAUUUAACCAUUUUUACGUAUACUAUAAUUCAUUUCGAAUAGAGUAGUAUUACUUCACUAAUUGCAAAUUAGCCUCAAUGAUAAGUAAAAUUACAUACUUUAACACUAACUCCUUUAACCUAAAACAUAAGCAACUUUAUGUCCACAAAAAUUGAUGUAUUUGUUUCAAAAUAUGAAUUUGAUCAAUUAACUUUCAUUGACACAAAAUUACUAAUAUUUAAGGCUAAAGCUAGUACCAAGGAUGGUAGUUAAAUUACUAAUUUAUCCAUAAUGAUUAUAGUCAUCUCUCACAAUAUUAAUAAAUUAAUGCAAUGAUAUUUUUUAAACAAUUUCUUUUACAGAUGGAUAAUGUAAUACUGCGGGUCCAAAAUCCCAACCCGAGAAUCAUUAUCGUCAAGAACAACUUGAAAGUCCAUAUUAGAGAGAUCAAACAAGCCCAACAACCUAACCUAAUAAAGUAUAAACACAAUGUGUGUACACCAACGUCCUCUGAGCGGAUAAAUGUACCCAUGAAUAAGGAUUCUAGAAGGGCCAACAUGUGUUGAUUGUUAUGCAUACAAUGAAACUCAUUUGAGUCGAGUAUCCAAUUCUCCUUAUCUCGAUCUCUGAUAUGAGGACACAUAACCGACAGUCUGAGAUGUCCAUAACUGUCACAUGAGGAAAAACAAUAACAAACUGAAGCAUAUGGGAUUUUAGAACCACAUAAAUAAUUGUUUCACCUCCAUGCAUGAUCACUCAUAAAAUCAUUCAAAUAUCACUUAUUACUUGUAUAGUCAAGCUCUACAGUCAAGUCUAGAGAACCAACAACUACCAUUAAAUUAGAUAAUGCUAUAUAAAUAUUUUUUCUUCAAAAAGUAUAUAAAUAAUAUUUUCUCGAUCCUCCUUGUGUACAACAUUUCGUAGAAAUGAUUAAAUUUUGAGUGUUCUUUUCUUUUAUCUUACUUAUGCAUAAUGAUUCAAUAGUUUCUUUUUUAAUAUUGCGUCAAGCUUGUAUUUCAUUGGAAUUUGAUGUGUUGUGAGUUGUUACCGUUGUUGGUACGGUGUGUAGUAGUGUGAGCAUAGCUUGUAUUUCAUACUACUGACAUGUACAAUUCUUACUACAAUCAAAUUUGUAUCUGUUGCCAUUGACGCUUCCUAAAGGAGUUGACUUUUUUGUUGAAUACAAAUGAAUUGACUCUAGACUAUUGCUUGUUUUCAAAAAACAUUUUAAUGCCUAGUUUACUAUGAGAUAGAAAUAUUAAUCUUAAGUAUAUCAUUUAAUUUGAACCUAAGGAGUACAUAUUUAUAUAUUAUUUUCUUGUCUUUUAAAUCGUUAAUAAAUUAUUUGUGUGUCUUUUCAAUAUACUAAGAAUCAAUUAGUUAAAAGAGAAAAAUAUAUAUUAUUUAUUGUUUAUUUCUUGAUUAUCUUUUAGAUAAACAUUUAAAAAAUAAUGGUACAAUAGUUAUAAUUUACUUCAUAAAUUAUAUACAUGACAAAUAUUUAUUAUUAAUUAAAUAAUUAAAUGAUAAUCUUUCAGUAAUUAAUUAGUUAAAAUAGAAAAUUAUUUUUUAAUUACUAUUAUAUUUCUUGAAUGUCUUCUAGAUAAAAUUUAGAAAAACAUUAUUAUAAUUAUAUUAAUUUUAUAAAUUAUACUUCAGACAAAUAUUUUUCUUUAAUAUUUAAUUAAAAUAAGUAUUUCACAGAUUAAUUAACUAAAAAAUAAAUAAAUAUAUUUCACGAAUUAAUUAGAUGAAAGUGUUUGUUGUACCGACAAAAAAAAAAAAGAACAUGCUAGUAAAAAUAAGCCAUGGGAUGUCAAAAUGAAAGGUUGAAUUAUGCGAGUUAGUAUUCUAUAGUCAUAAAACUAAAUGAAAAUAUUUAGACAUAUAUAAAAAUAAAAACAUAUUUUUAAAUAUCAAUAAAAAAUAAAAUUACUUUUUAUUAUUGUUAUUAAAAAACGUUUAAAAAAAAUAUGUAUUUGAUCUUGUAAUCAUGUAGGAAUUGUUCAAAUUCUGCAAUGUAGUUACACAAAUUUCUGUUACUGCAGUGGCCGGUGGCAAUGAUGCAUCAUCUUAUUGUCUUCUUUUUUUUCCCCUGAAUUGUCAUGUUAUUGUCUUUUAUCUACUACGAUAUUUUUUUUAUAUGAAUAAAACUAUGUUUCUGUCUUUUUUUGUGUGUGUCUAGUAGAACAGUAGUCUAGUGGAUAGACGUAAGGAUAUGUUUGAAUUACAAAAAAGUAUGAAAAGAUAGAAAGUAAGAGAAAUGAUUGAUAAAGGAAAGAUUGUGAAAGAAAAGUGAGAUGAUUUUUUAAUUGUUUGAUAUGGAAAAAAGUGAAAAGAAAAGAAAAAUAGAAAAUUUAUUUUUCUCUUGUUUAGUUGAAUAGGAAAAUAGAAGAAAGAAAACAAAUUAUAUUUAUUAAAUAUAUAUGGUAUUAAUUUAUUUUUAUCAUGUGUCUUUACAAAUAAAAGUGUAUAUAUAUAGCUUAUUUGAAUUUGAUUUAAACAUGAUUUUUAUUAUUAUUACUUCAUAAAAAUUUAUUUUUAUUUUAGUCUCUUAAAAAUUAAUUUUUUAAUUUGUCCUUGUAAUUUUGGAUUAUUUUUAAUUUGAUAUUUAUAAAAAAAUGUUGAAGUUAACAUAAGUUGAUGAUGCUGCUAAAAAAUCUUUGUUAACAUGGUUAAUAAGUUGUUGAGUCAUAGAUUUCAAUUAAUAGAAAAAUAAAUAAAUAUUUUAUUGAAAAAUAAAUAAAUAUGAAUGGGAAUUAGGGUGAUUGGAUUAAAGAAGAAUGAACACAAAAUGGAGUUGACAAAAAUAAAGAACAUCAACGAAGUGACAACUUAUGUAUUGAGAUCCAUUCCGACUUGAUGAAGAUUGUUGUGGGAGAUGGUGCAUCAUUUGAAUUGUCGCUUGAUCAAUUAGAGCUUGGUGUUGGAUGAGUCUAAUUUAUUUAUGUUGUAUGUAAAUUUGUAAAUAUUAUUGUUGCUUCAAUAAAAAUUAAAUUUAGAUGUUUUUUUUUUAACCUAAUCUAUUUCAACCAAUUCAAUUUUAUCUACAACACAACAAGAAUCCACAUCUAUUCUGAUUUAAUUCUCAGUCAACUUAAAUGAAUAUCUUUUUAACCUAAUUUCCCAUUCUUAUAAUUGUAAUUUAUAGUUUUUCUAUUUUUAAAUGUAACAAUUUUAUAUGUUUCUAAUAAUUGAUUAGUAAUGAAUAGUACUGACUCAACAACUUACUUAUUAGCCAUAUUAUCAAAAGAAUUUUUUUUGAUAUAUAUGACCUAAAAAAAAUGACCUCUUCUUCACGUGACUUUUUACAUGUUUAAGACAAAUAAAUAAUUAUUACUAACCUUAACUUAUUCAAAUAAUACAAUCGGUCACUUAUUGUAAAACAUUUAUAAUAUAACUAACAAAAACCGUGAAAAGAAACAUUCAUAAUACUCUAAUAUUUUGUAUAUAUAUAUAUAUGAUGAAUAUUUCAGAUAUUUUUUAAAAUAAAUACAUUGCCACACGACUACUAAAAUAUUACUAGUAUAUAAUUCUAGAUUUAUAAAUUAAUUCCUGUCAAAACUAAAUGAUUAAUAAUUUGAGCUGUAAAAAGAUAUUCAUAUUGUAAUGUAAUAAAGAAAGAUAGUUUGGUCUUAUAAAUAAACCCCGGUUGAUAAUUAAAGGAUAUUAAUUUAAAUUUAAAUACAAAAGAUUCUUUAUUUUCCUACGUUUAAGAUGUCUAAUACAAUGUUGAUUCCCGUCAAACUGGAAGGAAAAAGAGAACGAUUGAAGAAUAUUCAUUCUCCAUUGUUUAGUUUGGCAUCAAAGAGGGUAGGAAAUAAAGUAGUUUGCUGCGAACUACACAAAAAGUUAUAGUUCCCAAAUUGGACGCAAUGAUGAAAGAAGAGAUGGUUUUUUGUAGCAACUGAUAAAAAUGUCCAUUAAAAAAAUCAACGUGGGAACUAUUAUUUUUUUAGAAUAAUUAAUUCUUAAUCAAUAUCUUAAAGGCACUUGUUGUUCUUUUGUUGAUAAAAAAACACCCCAAUGAAUCGGUGAGGUGUUAAGGGUUAGAUAGGCAGUUUAGCUCAUCUACUUCGCCAUUCUGGCAGUCGGCACGCGGCCCUGACAGAUGCUCGUGUUUGAAAUGCGUUUUUUUUUUGUUUGUCACUAAAACAAUAGUCCAAUACUAACAUACAAAAGAAAAAAAAAUCAAUAAUAGUAUAAUACUAUACCACUUUAAACAAUCUAAAUGCAGAUUUUGCCAUAUAAAAAUUCUAAAAAAUUGACGGCAAAGAUUCUUUUAAGUUUUUUAAUAAAAAAUAUAUUUUUCAAGAUACUAUUUACUAUUCAUCUAGAAGGUCGUAACACUAUCAUCAAACCAUCUUACCACUGCUAGCUACAUGAGCGUUGUGGUGGCGGUCAGAGCUCUGCCGUUAGCCACCACUAUAUUAUUUAUUAAUUAAUUAAUAAAUUAGUUAUUCAUUUCAAAAUAAUAAUAUUAUUUUUUUAGAUAUAAUAUAAAAAUAUUUUUAAACAAUAAUUUUUUGUAUUUUUAAUAUUUUAAAAACAGUUUUAUAUUUAAAAAUAAUAUAAAACCAGGUUAAUUAAUAUUUUCACUUUUUAAAUAAUAAAUUGAUUAAUUUUAUUAAUAAUAAAUGCUAUUAUUUAUUUUUUGUAUAAUAUAUAAAAUACUAUUAUUAUUAUAUGUAUAUGAUUUAUUAUAAUAUUUAAAAAUUUAUUAAGUAGAUUGAAUGAAUAUCUAUCUGUCAAAAUACAAUAAUGGGUAGAUUUGAUGAUUCAUAUAUUUAAUUGAUGGAUUAGAUCAUUUUUUUUUAAAAGAUUUAAUGAAUUAUAAAUAGAUUAUUUUGUUAUUCACAAUUAUCUAAAUUCAUAUCCAUCUAAUUCAUCAAUUGGACCGCCCGAACAAGUUAUUUGACAAUUUAAAUAAAAAACAUUUGGAUUAAAGUUAUUUUUAUGUAAUUUAUUUUUUGGUCGCAAAUCAAAACUGAUUAAUCGUAUUUAUUAAAUACUUUUUAAGAAAAUUGUUAGUUAUCUUUAUUGAAAUAUAUAAACUAAUCAUAUUUAUUAAAAAAAAUUAACUAAUUAUAUUUUUUUGUAUUAUUCCCACCAAGGAUGGUCCCACGUUUUCCAUUAUGUGGACAUUUUCCAUAUUAUUAUAUUAUACAAUAAAAAGAAUAUCACACGCAUGUAGAGACACUAAAAUAUCAUACACUAAAAAAAGGUAAACAACACUAAUGAAGAGUUGAGUUUAGUAAAACUAUUGGACCCUCGUAUUGCGAGCGCAAAUUGCGAUGAAUGUAAAUUUGAAUCUCUACAAAAAUCAAUAUUUCCUAUUUAGUGAUCGUUGAAUGUGUCUCGGGUACAUUUACUAUAGUAUAUAGAACUUAAGAGAUAUAAUAUCCAAUAAUUAAUCAUGUAAAAUUAAAUAAUUAUUUUAUAUUUAAUUAAUUUUUAAAUAAUUUAAAAUUAGAUUGAUUUUACUUUAGUAUCUAAAAAUUUACUCAGGAAAAUAUAUAUAUAUAUAUAUANNNNNNNNNNNNNNNNNNNNNNNNNNNNNNNNNNNNNNNNNNNNNNNNNNNNNNNNNNNNNNNNNNNNNNNNNNNNNNNNNNNNNNNNNNNNNNNNNNNNNNNNNNNNNNNNNNNNNNNNNNNNNNNNNNNNNNNNNNNNNNNNNNNNNNNNNNNNNNNNNNNNNNNNNNNNNNNNNNNNNNNNNNNNNNNNNNNNNNNNNNNNNNNNNNNNNNNNNNNNNNNNNNNNNNNNNNNNNNNNNNNNNNNNNNNNNNNNNNNNNNNNNNNNNNNNNNNNNNNNNNNNNNNNNNNNNNNNNNNNNNNNNNNNNNNNNNNNNNNNNNNNNNNNNNNNUAUAUAUAUAUAUAUAUAUAUAUAUAUAUAUAUAUAUAUUGCUUUUACUAAUAAAAAUUAUAGGUCGGUAUGUGACUCACACCCGUUAAUUUUAAAAUAUAUAGAGUGUUUAAUUUUAUGUGGAGACUCUUUAAUUGAAAUAUUAUUUAAUUUAUCUAACGUGAAUGUUCAAUUAUUGAUAGUGGUAUUCAAUAUUGUUGUUAUUUAAUUAUUUUACUUAACAUUCAAAUUUAAUAAUUUUAUUUAUUAUAAAAUGUAUAAUGUUUUUUUAAUAUAAUAUAUUUCAAUUUUACAGUUGAAAAUGUUAGUUCAUUGACAAAUUUUUUUUCAUCUUCAAAAUUUAGUAAUAAAAAUAUAACGUAAAAUAUUAAUUAACACUAAAUUUAUGAAUUAUUAAUAUAGUAUGAAGAUAAAAACAAAAAAGCGACGUUGACGACUAACUAUAAGGAAUAAUUGAAUUUUAUGAAAAAAAUAGAAUUUUGAAUUUUAAUUAUCAUAAGUUAUUCUUUGUUAUAUUCAAAUAAAGUAAAGAAAUUAUAAACUUAGAAAUGAGAUAAGAGAGGAAGAGAGACGGUCAAGAGUGAUGAAAUGUCAGUUUCUCAAAACUUUUAUGAAUAAUUUAAUAAAUUAUCAUUAUUAUUUUAAUAAUUUAUCGUUUAUAAAAAAAUAUAAGACAUGUGGGACUUUUACUUGAGAAGAUCCGUCACAGCACACAACUAAUUACCCAUAAUUUUUGAAUCAAUCCAAUAAAUUAAUUAAUUAAAUACAAAACUCAUUAAAUUCAAGUCAAAGUGUGUAUAUUAAUAUUUUUUAUAUAAAAAAGUGUGUAUAUUCUUACUUUAUUUGCAUUUUUGUUUUUUCUGUAAAAUUCAAUACUGCAUUUUUGUCAUGGCGUCCACGUAAUGGGAGUGGGAUUUAAAUAUUUUUAUUGACAAAAUGCCUAAAACCGGGCGUCUUACUUUACUAACUCCAGCUACAGUGGUCUGAAGCCAAGUUGCCCUCUCAUGUCACAUUACUUAUUCUAUUUUAUUAUUAUUUGCUCAAAAAACGGUAGUAGGUGAAUGACUCAAAAAACCUACUACCUCUUUUUCUUUUCAAAAACAAAAACAACUCUUUUAUUUUGUUCUAUCGUUCUUAGUUCUUACAUCUUGAUAUUUUGAAAAGAAAAACAUGUCACAUGUAUCAUAAAAAAUGUUUCAGUAGAAAAUAGUUACGCUCUUUCAAAUUUAAAAUUAUAAUUUUUUUAAAAUCGUCAAAAUUAAUAAUUAAAUAUUAUAUUAAUGAUUUUCUUUUUUAAAUUUAAAUCUUCAUUUCUUUAACUUAUAUUUUGAAUCAGUUAAAUUAUUCAUGUUACUAAAUAAAAAUCAUAUUAAUUUGAGGGAAAACAAUUAAAAUAUUAAUAAUUAUUAUUUUAAAUUUCGCGUACAACACUCGAUGAAAAUAUAUAGAUAUCAUACUCAUUCUGGUAUUAUAACUUUUUAAGAAAAAAAGUUAAAGCAUAUAAUUUUAUUGAAAGGACAAAAAAUCUUUAAAUUUGAAAAAUAAUUUGUACAUUUUUUUUGUUAUGCUAUGUUUACGUUAACAAUUUUCUUUUUUAAUAAACCAUUAACUUAAAAAAGUAUCGCCAACUUUAAAUAUAAAGAGUUUGAAUAUAUUUUAUAUAGGGCACGUAAGAUAGUAAAUUUGUAAACAGGAAGAAGAGUAAAAUAUUAGAGAAUUAGGCGGUUAUGAGCUUAUAAAAAGGGAAGUGUUGCAAAGGUAGAUUCCAGGCAACACACCCAUUUCUCCCAUUCUCUUCAUCUCAGCAACAGAACACAACUGUUGUUGAGUUGUUCCUAAACUUUGUUUCUAAUUUUAGCAGAAAACUAUACACCAUGUUGGUGGAAAUUGCAGUUACUUUAGUGCUAAUUGCUCUAUUCAUACACUUCCGACCAACACCAACAGCUAAAUCAAAAGCUCUUCGACACCUUCCCAAUCCACCAAGUCCCAAACCUCGUCUUCCUUUUGUUGGUCAUCUUCACCUUUUAGAUCACCCUCUUCUUCACCAAUCUCUCAUUCGUUUAGGAGAACGUUAUGGCCCUUUAUACUCUCUUUAUUUUGGUUCCAUGCCUACUAUUGUUGCCUCCACCCCUGACUUGUUUAAACUCUUUCUUCAAACACAUGAAGCUGUUUCCUUCAACACAAGGUUUCAAACCUCUGCCAUAAGACGUUUGACUUAUGACAACUCUGUUGCUAUGGUUCCUUUUGCACCUUACUGGAAAUUUAUUAGGAAGCUUAUCAUGAAUGAUCUUCUUAAUGCUACCACUGUCAACAAGUUGAGACCUUUGAGGAGCCAAGAAAUUCGUAAGGUUCUUAAUGUUAUGGCUAAAAGUGCUCAAACUCAAGAGCCACUUAAUGUGACAGAGGAACUUUUGAAAUGGACAAAUAGCACUAUUUCUAGGAUGAUGUUGGGUGAGGCUGAAGAAAUUAGAGAUAUUGCUCGUGAUGUUCUUAAGAUUUUUGGGGAGUAUAGUCUUACUGACUUCAUUUGGCCUUUGAAAAAGCUUAAGGUUGGGAAAUAUGAGAAGAAGAUUGAGGAAAUUUUUAACAGGUUUGACCCUGUCAUUGAAAAGGUCAUCAAGAAAAGACAAGAUGUUAGGAGAAGAAGAAAGGAGAGAAAUGGUGAACUUGAAGAGGGUGAGCAGAGUGUUGUUUUUCUUGAUACUUUGCUUGAUUUUGCUGAGGAUGAGACCAUGGAGAUCAAAAUUACCAAGGAACAAAUCAAGGGUCUUGUUGUGGUAACUUUCUUUUCUUCAAUUCUAAUUGCUUCGUUUCAUCUUUUAGAUUUUAAAUGAGAUUAGAUUGGUUGAGUCAAUUAUACUAAACUAAAUGAUUUGGUAUGCAGGAUUUCUUCUCUGCAGGAACAGAUUCAACCGCUGUGGCAACAGAUUGGUGUUUAUCAGAGCUGAUCAACAACCCAAGAGUGAUGAAGAAAGCUCGAGAGGAGGUUGACUCUGUUGUUGGAAAAGAUAGACUAGUCGACGAAUCAGAUAUUCAAAAUCUUCCAUACAUUAGAGCCGUCGUGAAAGAGACAUUCCGCAUGCACCCACCACUACCUGUUGUGAAAAGAAAAUGUACAGAAGAGUGUGAGAUUAAUGGGUAUGUAAUCCCAGAAGGAGCACUUGUACUUUUCAAUGUUUGGGCAGUUGGAAGAGAUCCAAAAUACUGGGAUAGACCAUUGGAAUUCCGUCCAGAGAGGUUCUUGGAAAAUGCAGGUGAAGGUGAUGCAGGUUCAAUUGAUCUUAGGGGUCAACAUUUUCAACUUCUACCAUUUGGGUCUGGAAGGAGAAUGUGUCCUGGAGUCAAUUUGGCUACUGCUGGAAUGGCUACACUCCUUUCAUCUGUACUUCAGUGCUUUGAAUUACAGGUAGCAGGACCAAAUGGACAAAUAUUGAAAGGUGCUGAUGCUAAGGUUAGCAUGGAUGAAAGACCUGGUCUCACUGUUCCAAGAGCACAUAAUCUCGUUUGUGUUCCACUUGCAAGACCUGGUGCUGCUGCUAAACUCCUUUCCUCCUAAAACAUACAUUCAAACACUUAAUUCGUCCAUGUCCGUUUAUAAACUAAAUAAUCAUUUUCAAUAAGGUAUCAUUGAGAGAGUCCACAAUGUGUGCUAGUGAUGGUACAUGGGCUUAAAGACGUAUUUAUGUAUAUCAUCUCAAUUUGUCUCUCUUGAUACUAUGAUUGUAAUUUUUAUAUUUUUGUUUUUUUGUUUAUGUCACGAAAGAAGUGUUGCUGUAACCGUUUACAAAAUCUAUAAUUUUGUGCCUCUUUGUUGAAUUUUUGUUAUUUAUAUUUUUGUAACGACCCAUUCACCUUCACCAAGAAAGCAAAAUAAUUUAAUCAACAAGGAAAUGUGGAUGCAUUCCACUAAAAGGACAUCCUCUGUAGCCUCAACACUCAUACGGGCAAAUUCAACGAUCUUUACUCUAAUAGUAAUCUCUAAGGUUUCUUUCUUUCUUAUAAUAAUUUUGAGAGGUUAGAUUUCAAUAUAGAAUUGAUACACCACAAAUAUUAUUGGCAUAACUCAAUACCUCCAAACUUUCAACUUUCAUCUUAAUUUUCAUGUUAUAUUUAUGUUGAUAUAAAUUCCUAACAAAAUUUGAUUUUUAGGUUUACCGUUAUGUUUUACAAUAAGAGCUCCAAAUUUGGCUGAAAAAACUAGAAGUUGUAAUAGUUUUUAGCUAAAUCAUAAGUUAUUCAUGAAUUUCACUUUGAUUUUUUAAAUUUUGUUUGUUUCAUUUCAAUCUAUUAAAUUACAAAUAAUCAGAUAUUUUAUUUUAUUUUAAUCUCUUAAAUAAUAAAUUAAAUAUUUUGAUCUUUUAAAUUACAUAUUUUGGUCCUUUUUAAUAGUGUUUAAUAUUGUAACUUAUUGGACUAAAGUGUUUAUUUUUUGAAACUUAAGAAGUUAAAAUCUUUAAUGUUUAUAACAUAUGAAACUAAAAUGUAAGGAAAAAUACUUGAGGGGCUAUAUUGUUUGACAUUUGUAACUUUCUGAGACUAAAAUAAAAAAAUAAAAAAAUUCAAGAGAGCAAAAGUAUAAUUUAGCUUAAUUUUUUAUGUUGUGAAGGAACGUUCUAAUGAGUUAAAGCUUAUAGCAAUAAACUUAGAUAAUUUGUUCUAUCGGUAGAAAGACCAAUAUGAGAUUCAAAUGCUUGAGGUUUGAAUUUGGCUAGUGCCUUUGGGAAAACUAUAUGUAAAUUCAUUUGUAAGUUCUUUGAACUCGAAAGUAUUCCCUAUUAUUAGGAUCGUCAAACAAUCUGUGCAACAAAAAUAUUGGCAUAGGGAUCCAAAUUAAGGGGACCUCAAUUUUUAUUUUUAUAAUAUACCUUAACAUUUGAAAAAUUACAUUUAUAUUCUUAAUUUUAUACAUUGAACAUUGUAAAAUUUCAUAUUUGCACCUUAUGUUUAGAAUAAAUAGUCAGUUUCCCACCACUGAGUCUCUGACAUCGACUGCAGUCUAUCAAACGCUAUCACCCACCAUCAGAUGUUAUUAUUUUGUGAAUUUACGAGCUCAAUUUUUAGAUUCGAAUAGAGUCUCUAAAAACAUUUAGAUGAUCGUGUCUACUAUAGACUGGAGCUCAUUCUUUCACCCUAAAAUUCUCAUAACAAAAAUAAAAAAUUGUAGGAUCACAUUUUAGGUUUGGCUAAAUAAUUAGGGGUGUUCACAUCAUAAUUGAUAAAAUAAAAUAAAAAAAUCAAAAACCGCAUAAUAUCGAAUAUUAUUAGAUGUGUUUAGAUCGCCUUUUGUGAAAAUUGCUCAAAUCGGAUCAAUUUUCAGAUUCCUUUUACAAAUUUAAACCAAACUGAAUCAAACCGCACAUAUAAAUUUUAAUACUUUUUUUUAUCAGUUUAAUAUGUUUUAUUACUAUUUCAUAUGUUUCAAAUUUAAUCGAUGAAUGGUCUUUCAUAAUAUUAAUUUUCAAUAUAUCAUAUCCUAUAUUUUUCAAACUUGCUACUUUAAGAUAAUUUUAUAAUAUUAGUAUUACAAUAACUUUAUGCAAUUAUUUUAAUAGUAUAAACAAUUGGAUUAUAUAAAAUAAAAGUCUUAAAUUUUAAAAAUGUUAAUCUGAUUAAAUCGAACUAAAUCAACAUGUUUUUCAUUAAUUUGAUUAGAAAAUUAUGAGAAAAAUAAUGAACUAAAACUAAAAUUUUAAUAUACAAUAAAAUAUUAUAUUUAAUUUAUCAAUUAAAAUUUUAAAAAUUUAGUACUCCAAAGAUUUUGUUCAAGUUUCGCUAAGAUACCAGAAUCAUGUCCAAAAAAGUUAAGAAAACUUAUUUUUUCACUUUUAAAUUUUUUUAAAAUUUCUAAAUUUAACCCAAAUUGAUUAUUACAUAAAUGUAUUUUAUAUUUAUCUGAUCAAUUUAAAUGUUUAUUUUUAUAUAUUUGAAAAUAUAAGUAUAAGAAGAAACACCCAAAAGUUAAAUAGAACAUAUGUUUGGAUGCAAUGUUCCUUCCUACCGCAGCCAAAUUGUCUUGUGUGUCUCAAAGGUUCGCAUGUAUUUGACUGGAAAAAUAUUUUAGAAUAAAUGCAGCGCCCUCUCUGAUGGACUAGAAAAGUAGUAGUAGUGGUAGGUGAUACUUGCACAUCAUUUAAAAAUAAAUGUCAUUUCAAUUAUUUCUUUAAUUUUAAUGUUUUUAUAAUUUACUAUUUAUUCAUAAUAUUAGAAACGGUAUCAAUAAUGGGCGACUUAUUUAAAAAAAAUAUAUAAAUUUUUAAAUAAUGUAAUUUUUCUUUUAUUAUAAUAAUCAAUGACACGUGAUUUGGUCAAAUGCAUAAAUAUUUUGCUAAUUCUUAUUAUAUUGAAAAAAUUGUGACAGCUAUUUUGAUUGAUGAGAAAAAUUAAAGUAUAUUUUAACCCUUAAUAAAAAACAGUGACAAUUUAAUCCUUUCACAGUUGACUUGUAAACUGUACAUGAGCGGCCAUAUAGAAAAUCUAGUCCAAAGAUGGGGCUUAUAAAAGGGAAUAAUAGCAAAGCUUUUCUCUCAGCCAAAACAUAAAUCCUAUUUGACUUAAACUCAUCAUAGUAACAACUGUUGUUUCUACUUAUUAGUUGACUCAACAAGUUAAUUACACUAUCAAAUAAGCAAUACCAUGUUGGUGGAACUUGCAAUCACUUUAUUGCUUAUUGCUCUGUUUUUACACUUGCGACCAACACCAACAGCUAAAUCAAAAGCUCUUCGACACCUUCCCAAUCCACCAAGUCCCAAACCUCGUCUUCCUUUUGUUGGUCACCUUUACCUUCUGGAUAACCCUCUUCUUCACUACUCUCUCAUUCGUCUGGGAGAACGUUACGGGCCUUUGUAUUCUCUCUACUUUGGUUCCAUGCCUACUGUUGUUGCCUC